UUCUGAAUUCUCUCUCCAAUUCUCGAACUUUCAUUAUUUCUUUGAAACCUCGCAAAAUUUCACCUGUCUUUAUCUCCAUUUUUUAUAUUCUCCUCUUUUCUUCUUACGCUGCCAUUUUGUGGCAACAAAUAAACCGGAUCGUGAGUUCCCUGGUGCAUGACGAGCGCAUCGGAGUUGUUUUAUCAAAGAAGGUCGCGAGUGAGCCGAGCCAAUACCGAUCUAGGGCUCGAACCUUCUGUUUCUGACCGUAUUUUUUACCAAAAUUACAAUCGCCGCCAUCACAAUAAUCAUAAUCACCGUCAUGAUUUAGACGGCUGUGAUCCUCUUCGCAGAUCUCCUCACGUGCGGCACCCCUGCCAGCGCUUUCUCUCUGUAAGAAACUUGCAUAUAUUGGAAUUUGAGUGUUCAAAAACUAUAUCUUUAAUUGUUUUAUUGCUUUAAUUACUUGAUUUAAAAUUGUAAUAUUUCUUUAGCGGUCGUAAAUAAUGCAAUAAGCAAAAAAAUUUACUAUAGAAAGCUACAAAAAAUUGGUAAAUUUGUUUUAAGUGGAUAUUUAAGUUGAAGUUUCUUUUGAUUUAUAUUCACUGGAGAAUAAAUUUACUGACGGUCGUCUGGAUUCAUCGAAAUCUGUUAUGGAAAUCACAUAAAUUUUAGGCCAAAUUAGGAAAUCAAUUGUAUCAUUGGCUUUAAUUGAGGAAUGAGGUGAUUUUAAUAUAAAUAAGAAUGUAAGAUUCCGUGAAACAGCUCGCGUAUAGAUUGUAAUUACUAGCUAGCUAGCUAGACAGCAUCUUUUGAAAGAUUUGAGUUUUUGGUAGUUUCAUGGUUUUCCAACGUUUUAUGCUUAACUCGUAAUCUGCCGAAUGAGAAGCAUUCUGCUAGAUAUCUUAAUUAUGAACUGAUAAAGGUGUGUAUUUUGUAUGUUGUUGCGCUGCACCUCGACAUUGGGCCAUUCCAUUUGGCUAACGUGUGUGUAUUCUUAUCUAGUCUCAAGUAUGCGUACCUAAUAUUAAAAUCAAUAGGAUUGAUAAAGGUGUGUGAUUUGUAUGUGUACUCUUUCGCUAAUAUUUCCUGCUGUUUGUUUUGUUUGCUCAAUUGUGUCUGGUUUCUCAAUUGAACUUUAUGUUCUUCACUUGUUUGGUGAACCAUAGGGCAUUUUUUUUUUUUUUUGCAUUAUUGCAAUUGUUAUUUACCAACUCUCAGUUUUGCAAUGCCACUUUAUGAUUUUUUUUAUGCCCCGCUCAUUGUUGUAUUGCAUUUGGCUUGCACAGGAACGUGCCUCAUCUCGACUUGAUCAAGGUACCAGUCAAUUUGUACCAAGCAACAAUAACAGCACUGAAACUCUAAGCAGCACAAGCCGGCCAAGAGUGACUGUAAAUGACAGACUUCCUGGAGCUGUGGUACUUGCAAGGGCAAGGCUUCUCGAAAGGUUAAGAGGAGUUUCACUUUCUGGAAACAGGUGAUUUAGAUACCCUGUUGAAUUCCCUAUAUAAUGCACAGAGUUAUGCAUACAUCGUGGUACUUGGACCCAUCACAAAUUGGCAGCCAUCAAUAUUAAUGAUGGUAACCUUUGGCAUUUGUCACUUGUUCAUGCUAUUCCAUCAUAUGUCUGUGCUGUUAAAAUCUUGAUAGUUAUGGCUGCUGCUUUUGGUCCCAUUUCUUAUGCCCCCCACCACUAUCAGUACUGCUUGUCUUUUAUUGCUUGGAGAUGCCUGCACUAUGUCUCAUAUGUUACCAUAAGAAUGUAGAUCUAGGCCAUAUUCAGGAGAAACACAAUGACACAGUUUUCUUUGCUAAUGCAAGCAUGUUUUGUUAUCUCUGAAGCAUUGGUCAUGGAAUUAACUUAAGGUACGGACCUGUUUAUUUUGGCUUCAUUCAGGCAAAGUGGCCGGGCUUUUCUUGGCAUCUAUAACAGGGAGUAUACGCUUGGCGAUGAAUUGAGGGUUGUUGAUGCAGGGGACUGGGGAACUGACAUUUCUACAGGGUUGUUUGCUGGAGGUUCCUCUUCCGAUGACUCAACCCUUCAAACAGAAAGACUUCACACCGUGCAGGAAUCACACAAGAAGAAACCACCUGGUCUAACCCAAGAUGCCCUUCACUGUUUGCAAUCAGAGGUAUUUAGCAGCGUAGAGAAGGGUAUCGAAGGGGGUGUAUCUCAGGUGUCAUGGGAUUGUAGUAUAUGUCUCGAGAGUUUCACAGAAGGAGAUGAACUUAUUCGGUUGCCAUGUGAGCAUAGAUUCCACUCUGCUUGCUUGGAUCCUUGGGUCCGGACAUGCGGUGACUGCCCAUAUUGUCGAAGAGAUGUAGUUGUAACUAAUGACUGAGAAUGAACAUGAAGUCCUUCUGAGAAGGUUUUAUGUUUCUUCCUCUGCGGCUUCUCUUACAUUGUAGACUCCUAGUUCAAAGUUUAUAUCUUCACCGAAUUUCAUUAAUGUUGUUUCGUCGUUGUUUGGUUUCGUGUGGUGUUCAUGUCAUACUUGGUUUCGUUGUAAAACACGAAAUUAUCUCAGCCUAGAGUCCUUAAUCCCCACUUAAUAUUUUCUGUUUGGAGUUUCGUUUAUACCAGAUUCUGAGUAAUACUCCUUGAUUUCAAAUUUCAAUUCGCUGUCAUUUUUAUUUUUCCAAUACUCUCAUGCAUGGUUUUUCCUCCUUGUCUUGAAGGGAGAUAUAAUGAGGAGGAUACACAAGACCUGUCGUGAAGACUUUUCAUUUUAUUACAAAACGAAGAAAAAAGGGCAAAAAGUGAUCUAUUAUCAUCAUUCAUUUGGAAUCGGUCUAUUUCAUUAUCAUGAAUUCGACUGCAAUAACUUUGUGAAGUCAUUUGAAUUUCUGGACCAAUCAAAUUUGGCCCAGCUGAAUUGGAUAUAAUUCAACAUGUUACUUUUAGCAAAGGGGAAUGGAAGAGAGACGUUACUGAAGCUUUGCCAUGUUUUAUUAUUAAUUUGAGGACACAGCAUAGCAUAUGAUGUGGACAACGAAGAUGUUCGUUUCUUCUUCACUUUCUAGCCUCCUUCAAUGAAAGAUUAUAAUAUAAUUACUUAAUUAGCCAUGUUUCAUUUUUAUAAUUUCCCAGAAAGGUAAUCUAAUGGCUAAUGCUUUUUCAUCUUUCUGUUACAUAGUUCAAGGCCCAAUUGUACUGAUUUGCUAAACCUAAUUUUUAGGCCAUUGCUUACCAAAAGCUAAUGCUGGCCUUGAUAAUUUUAGACUUUUUGGCAAUUCCAAGUCCUUUGUCCCCAUGCAAAUGCUCAAUAUAAAAGCACCUUAAUGCCUUUCAUCUUCAACCGCCACUACUAGGCAGCACCACUGUGGCUUGAUACCUUCUUUGGCAUUGAAAUGGUUUGCUCUUCCUUCCUCCUUGACCCACAACAGAUCCACCUCACCCCACCUACCAACAUAACCACCGCCAUCGCCACCUCCAAAGAAAAAUCAGUAAUGUCUUUGAAACCACCAACUCAAUCCCCUGUAUGUACCCUCAGAUUGACAUUCCCUCUCUCACCCCUUGUCAAUACAUCUUCCUCAAAAUCACUCCCAAAAUAACCCCUGAAAAUUUAACUCUGUCGUUAGAACGUGCCUGAAAUGACGAUCCAAAUACCACUCUCAAGCUCAUUUUCCAUCUUGGGUUGGCACCAUCAAUGCCAAUCCUAAUAAAGAUGCAUUCUUCACUUCACUUCUUUGGUUUCAUAAGAAAGAUCUUUAAUUUCUCGAGUUACGUAUUCUUGCAGCCCUUGCUAGUUCUGGGUACCUAAAAGAUCUUCCUGACUUGAAGUUAGAGAUGGAACUUAAAGGUUACAACAGUGAAGACCCCUUGUUUCAAGAAUCCAGUGUGAAAAGUGAGAGCCGGGGUGGUGAGAUUGAGAUGGACAAAGAGAAGAGGAGAGUUACGAGGAGGGAGAAAGAUAUGUCUCGCGCUAGAAUUGCAGUUCUUUUUCACAAUAAUGUUUCAUGAUAUCAAUACUUGCACAAUCGCAUUGCAGAUGUUUUUGCAGAAUUGCUCAAGUCUGAUAUUGAAUUCUUGAAGUCGGCGAGACUGAAAGGAUUAGUAUGGCCUCAAGAUGGUGUUCUUCUAUCAAUAGUUUCUAUGAUAGGAGAGCUCUAAUUUGUGAAAGCUUUGCAAAGGCAGUUUUCACUUUUGAAUCAGGUCCUGUGUAAAUUGGUAUUAAAAAUGCUUACUAUGUUUAUAGGGUUCGAAAUAGCUUGAUGAAAGAAGUUCUUGUUCCUCUUCGUAAAUCCUUUUGAGUGCAAGAAGGUUUGAUUCAAUCACACAGAGGGCUGUUGUGUCAACCAUUGUGAAGCAAAUGUAUUCAGGCUUUUCUACUGAGGAUUGCAAUGAAAUGUUUUAAGGUUUAUGUUGAUAUUGCAGCAAGAACAUUGAGGAAAAGGGAAUUGUUGCUUCUUCAUGAAAUUGCAGCUUCUUUGAGGGAUUGAAGUGGUGGAAAAGUUUUGGACUCUCAACGGGAGAAACUUGUUUACUAUGUACAAAAGAAAGGAAGCUUGAGAAACUGUUUGGCGAUUUAUGGGAUAUCAAGAGACAUGACUAAAACACAGGAGGACAUUUGUGUAUCACUGGAGCUAUUAAUUUCAGAGCUCAGUGAAGAACCCUGUAAGGGAAAGAUUGUGAAUAAUACUGAUUAUCCUACGCUUUGCAAGGUUGAAGGACGCAAUCUUCAAUCCAACUUUGAGUUCAUGAGGCAAUUGAACUAUAGUCGAAAUGUAAAUAUUCAGAUGGUGUUUGAUCAAUAUUGGGAUUUUCUGUUCCAGAAAAUACAAGCCAAGAGAAGAUGCCGCAAAAGAUAUUUGUUUUGGUGAAUUCGGAUUUCAACAGGCAUCUGCUAACUAUUGGGGCGUGUGGGGGAGUUACAAGAGAAAGAAAGGGUAUACAGAAUUGCCAGAGCUUGUGUUUUGGAAUCUGAGAGGUGAUUUGAGUUUUCCAGCAAGGCACUCCAACGGGGUGACAAUGGUUAAUGGAUAUUCAAAUGAUUCACUGGCAGCAUUGUUGGAGAGAGAUGUUGUUCCACUGCUAGAACAUUUGGUGAGAUUAGUGCACCCUGAUCAUGUUGUGAAAUCAGCCGUUUCUGGAGAGUUGUAUGAGAAUUUACUUGUAUAUAAUUGAUGUAUCAGAAAACACUCCUAAUAAGAAACUUGGCUUUCAGUUGCAUCUGGAAAUUGCUUUCAGUUGUAUGUCCACGAUUUUUCUGCCAAUCUCUUGAUCAAGUUCCACUUCGCAAAUAUACAAGUUGUUAAUGUAUAGUACAAUCCUACAGUAAAAUUCAUGACGAGAACAAGUUCAUGAAAUAAAUUUGGUUUUCUUAGAAUCUCCAAUCAAGUUCUUCACGCUAAAAAAUAAAGAGAGAAAAGGUCCUUAAAACUUAUUGUCAGUGCAUCUGAUGCUUUGAUCCUUAACCGGUAAUUGGAUAUGACAUCAGAUGCUUUAAUGAUAGUUUUUCCUUACGUUUUUUGAAUAAAUAUUUAGAGGCCAUUGCGUGUUUAAUGGGAUCGUAAGAGUCUUGAGCUUGCUUUCUCAAAAAUACAUGACAAUUCUUUGCCUAUUUAAGAGAUGAGCUGAAACCUAAACAUAGAAGCUUUGCGUAAGCCAGAGUUUGCUUGUAUUUUCAAGAACUGGGGUCUUCUCAGAUCUUGAUUUGCUUGUUAGAUCAAAUGGAUUGGUGCUCUGACACCAUGUUUUCUUUCUUGUGUCUUUUGUAAAUAUCAUAGCAGGCAAAUACUUGUGUAGCAGGUAUGCUCCACCUAAAUGUUUGAUUUAUACGAAAUUCUUCCAUUAUCCAAAAUUAAACAAAGUAGACAUAUGAACAUAGAGUGAGAGUUCGUGCAUUUUCUCAUGCUCAGGCCUGCCAUUUUCUCACGUUUAAGAGUGAUUAUAUAUGACCAAGCAUAUAGAGAACUCUUAAGAAAACAAAGAAACUGAAAAGAAUUAAUGAACAAAUCUGAAUGCCUCAACAUUUUUCCAAGCAAGCUGGUGUUUGUCUAGUAUGGUUUUGAAGUUUUAGGUACCCAACUGAUCAUUUUAUGUUUGUUCAUGGUCAUAGAUCCAAACUGAAGAAUUUUGGAAUUUGAUUUGAUUUUAUGUAAGAAUAAAACGCAGCGGAGUUCGUUGAACAGGAAUUCUUUACUUUCAGCAAAGAGGAAGGGGGAGGGAGAAAUUGAUUCCUUGACAUGUUGUUUUACUAUUAGCUUGACAACACAGGUCUGAAGAAUCAAAUGUGCUUUCGUCUCCCCUUUCCCAUAUCAAGAUAUAUGAAUUCUGAAAAGCAAUUCGGUUGAAACUUUCAAAGAGGCCAAGAUUUACAGUAUCUGAACUUGGCAUGGCCAUUCCCUAGAAAGUUUGGACGUGAUGUUACAGAGUUCAAGGGCCAGUGGGAAUUUAUUUCCCCUACGAAUAAACCUAUUUUACAGGUUUUCAGUUACUGCUGAAUAUAAGUGCCGACCCAAGUAUAGUAGCAACAUUUUAGGCGUUUAGCAACUGCAAGUCCUUGGUCCCCAAGUAACGCUCUGCCUAUAAAAAAAAUCUCGUUGCCUUUCUUCUUGAUUCUUCUCCCGCCUCAUAGCACCAGUAGGCACCACCACAAACAAACAAUUUUCAAGACUCUAAAACCCUCCCAUGGCUCCUUCUCCUUCCUUUCUCAUUGGCCCACCAGAGAGUUACCGCCGUGCCCCACUCACCACCACCGCAAGAACUCAAAAACCACAAACAAAAGCUCCUGUAUGGUACCCUCAUAUGGAGAUUCCUACCUUAACCCCUUGCCAGUUUCUCUUCUUCAAAAUCACUCCCAGUACAACCCCUGAAACUCUAUUUCGCUGGUUAGAACGUGCCUGGAAUGAAGACCCAAAUACCACUCUCAAGCUCAUUUGCUAUCUUGGAUUAGCCACCAUAAAGGGAAAACCUAAUAAAUACGCGUUCUUUAACUCGGUUCUUUGGCUUCAUAAGUACCAACAUUAUGUUCUUGCAUCAAAUCUUGCAGCCUUGGCAAGUUUUGGGUACUUGAAAGAUCUUCCGGAAAUCUUGUAUCGAAUCUUGGUGUUUGAGAUGGUAAAUGGAGGUUACUGUCAAAGCAGAAUGUUGGAUCAAGGAGAGAACGUGAAAAUGGAUCAGAUCGAGAAUGAAGAGAUGGAGAAGGAGGAAACGAGGGUUCUGAGGAGGGAGAAAGACAUUUUUUGGGCUGAAUGUGCAGUCUUUUUUCACCGAAAUGUUUCAGCAUAUCAUUUCUUGCACAAUUGUGUUGCAGAUAUUUAUGCAGAUUUGCUGAAGUCUGAUAUCGAAUUCUUGAACUUGGGUGAGGUUGAAAAGAUUAGUUUGGCUGCAAAAUGGUGUCCUUCUGUCAAUAGUUUCUAUGAUAGGAGAACUCAGAUCUGUGAAAGCAUUGCAAAGGCACUUUUCCCUUUCGAUUCAGACCCCGGGUACUUUGUUAUUGAAAAUGCUCACUAUGUUUAUAGGGUUCGAAAUCGCUUGAUGAAAGAAGUUCUUGUUCCUCUUCGUAAAGCCCUUGUGAGGAGAACAAGGUGUGAUCCAAUCACACACAGGCCUUUUAGACCUAUUGUGUCAACCGCUGUGAAGAAAAUGUAUUCAGGGCUUUGGACUGCGGAUUACAAUAAAAGGUUUAACGUUUACGUGGAGAUUGCAGCAAGAACAACGAAGAAAAAAAAGUUGUUGCUUCCUCAUGAAAUUGUAGCUUCUUUGAGGGAUAAAAGUAGCAGCAUGGUUGCAGAGUCUAAAUGGGAAAGCCUUGUUAACUACUUGAAAAAGAAAGGGAGCUUGAAGAAUUGUUUGGCAGUUUAUGGGAUAUCAAGGGACAUGAACAAAAUGCAGAAGGAUAUUUGUGUAUCGAUGGGGUUGUUAGUUUCAGAACUCAGUGAAGAACCAUGGAAGGGCAAGAUUGUAUCUUUUGGUGAUGAUCCUAAGAUUCGCAUGAUUCAUGGAAGUAAUCUUCCAGCCAAGAUUGAGUUCAUGAGGCAACUGGACUAUAGUAAGGUUGAAAAUAUUAAGAGGGUGUUUGACCAAAUAUUCGAAUUUGCUCUUGCGGAGAAGAUUAGCCAAGAGAAUAUGCCACAAAAGAUAUUUGUUUUCACUGACAUGGGAUUACAGCAGGUAUCUGCUUGCUUGUGGGGCAUGUGGGGGAGUUAUAGGAGAAGGAGAGGGUGUACAACAUUGCCAGAGAUUGUAUUUUGGAAUCUAAGAGGUGAAACUGGUGUCUUGAAUUUCCCAGCAAGGAACUUGAAUAGGGUGACGAUGGUUAAUGGGUUUUCGAAUGAUUCAUUGGCAGCUUUGCUGGAGAGAGAUGUGGUUCCAACUCUAGAAGAUUUGAUGAGGUCAAUUGGGCCAGAUAAUGUUUUGAAAUCAACCAUUUCUGGAGAUUUGUAUGACAAUUUACUCGUAUAAGAAUGAUGUAUAUUGACAUACAAACUGAAUAAAACUUGGUUUACAGUGGCUCCUAGAAAUCGCCUUCAACUGCUUGUCAACUUCUGAAAAUUCACAUUCCAUGCAUAUCUCUAAAGCACAGGUUAAUUUGUUUUAAAAAUCCCUCUUGAAUAUAAUUUGCCUCGAAAAUUAUGAUAACCUGACUACAGAAUCCAUUAUAAGAGUGAUCAGAACAUGAUCAAAUCAAAACAGUUGGGUGUUCAAUUUAGUUUUUCACACUAAGAAGUAGAGGGUAAGAAAAAUUAGGCUUUCGAGGUUGUUGUCAAUUGAUUAGUGUAUGUAAUUCCAAUGCUUUGGCCAAGACAAUAGAUUUUUUUUGGGUAUUAAUCAGAGCUCUUGGUUUAAGAUCUUGCAAUAAAUAUGGGGCACAUUCAAAUUACCCCUCUUCUAAUUACAAACCAUUUCUAUAAGGCUGCGGUCUGCACACCUGAUAGAAAGAAGCAGGAGAGACCCAUUAAUGUGUCUGCAACUCGGCGCUACAAAACCGCUAGUAGUCUCUUACUCUCCGAAGUAUCUUUGGCAUGGUAUGUGAAACCAAUACCAAAGUUCACCUCUUUGUGCAUGGAGUUAACGAGGAUGAUCUCAAACGCCCGUUGCGUUGCUACGAAGAUGAAUCUGUCACACACUUGUUCAUUCAUUUCAAAUUUUCAUGGAGUGUUUGAAAGCGCUUGGUUAAAUUAUAGGGUAUCAUAACAAUUGGUGAAUGCCACAUUCUAUGCCUGGCCAAUUAACAAAGUGAGAUUGUGCCGAGAAUUGGUUCACGGGAAAUUUCUGAAGAAAACUCGGUUGAUGUUAUUCUUCGCAUUUGUAUGGUUCAUCUGGCUUCUUAGGAUCAAAAUGGUGUUCAGCGAGGAGAAUUCAGCAGUUCAGAAACUGUUUGAAAUCAUUUUCCUGUGGUUAGGCAUUUGAUUUAAAUCUGCAUUUUAUGGAUUUCCUUACUUGACUGAGGACCUCAUGCACUCAGCAACAGGUCUAAUUCUGUUAAUCGCGAAACUGUUUCUUCAUGGCCUUCCCCUAGUUGAAAAUGGAAUCUGGAUGGCUCGUCAAUCAGAAAACCAGUGUUAGCAGGUAUAGGUGGGUGACGUGGUGUGCUAAGAGAUUCUCAAUGCUGUGAUUUCAUCUCUGCUGCAGGUUAACUGGAAGCCUUGAAUUAAGCAAGGGAAGAACGAAGGGGAAAGAGGUUUGAGAAGGGAGAAGAAGGUUAUCACGUCCAGAACGUGUUUGAGAGAAAGAGAGAACAGGGAAUAGAGUUUGAGAAUUCUGUUGUAAAAUUUCCACACCUUUCUGUUACAAUGAUUAGGGAAUUUAAAGACAAUAUUGUAAAUGCCAGCGUGGCAUCACUACGUGGCUGUACCAGCUGGCCUACUAGAAUAUAAAAUGAAGCUGCACAAAAACGCAGCCGUUUGGUUCCAUUUAUUUAAAAAUCAAAAUCCUGUUUCACUUUCCCCUUUGCUCGUUUGUGCCUUCUUUCCUUCUGUUCGUGACAAUGCCCCGUCCAUGAAAUCAACCUUGUCCUCAAGGUGGAAUUGAGGGAAUCGCCACUCAAACUCCUCAGCAUCCUCCCAGGUUGCUUCUGUCAAAGGUAAGUUUUUCCAUAGAAUCAAAAACUGAGUUGAUGCUGUAUUUCCCUUUUUGAUCAUUCGUCUCUCAACAAUUUUCUGUGGUUGUAGCAGGGGUUGUGCAGAGACAAUGGGGAGAUCGGACUGCACCACAUGGUUGCCUACAUGCUUCUUUAAUUGGGAAACGUGAAAGACGGGGUGGAUCACGGCAGUAGCAGGUAAUUGUAGUUUAUAUGCCACUGUUCCAAUUUUCUUGAUGAUUGUGUAGGGGCCAUAAUACUUUGCUGAUAAUUUGUAAGAGGGUCGCCUGUGAACCGAUUUCUAUCGAUACGGUUGUAGUUUCAGAUAGACUAAGUCACCCUCAGAAAACAUCCUUUCACUUCUUUUCUUGUUGGCUUGCUGUGUCAUUCGGUUUUGUGCUUGCAAUAAAUUGCUCCUGAUGAGUUUGAACAUGUCUUCUCUUUGGGUUAAAUACUGGUCCACAGCCUCCACGGGUGAAUCCUUAGGCGUAUAGGGAAUGUGAACUGGAGGCCCCAUUCCAUAUAAGAUCUCGUAGGGUGUCUUCUUAGUAGAGGAGUGGUAGUUUGUAUUGUACCACCAUUCACAGGAGCUCAGCCAGCGUCCCCAUUGUGCAGGGAUGGUUCCUGUCAUGCAUCUUAGGUAGCCCUCGAUGCAUUUAUUGACCACUUCUGUCUGUCCAUCAGACUGUGGAUGAUAGGCUGUAGAGUAUUGCAAAUUGACCCCCUGCUGUUUGAAUAACUCCUUCCAAAACUGGCUGAGAAAAAUGCUGUCUCUGUCACUCACAAUUGUUGCUGGCAUCCUAUGCAAUUUAUACACAUUUUCCAUAAAGACCUUGGCUACUGUAAUGGCAGAGUAGGGGUGGGUGAGGGCCAUAAGAUGGGCAUACUUACUAAACCUGUCGACCACCACAAAAAUGACUUCCUUCCCUUCUGAUUUUGGCAGUCCCUCAAUAAAAUCCAUGCUAAUAUCUAUAAAAGGAGCAUGUGGUACUGGUAAUGGUUGCAGUAGACCUGGAGGCUUGACAUUUUCCCCCUUGUUCUGUUGACAAACUGGACAUUCCCUGACGUAUUGCCUCACCAGCUUUUGGAGUUUCUUCCAAUAGAACACCUGCCCUAAUUUUUUUGAAGUAACCGUAGCUCCUGAAUGCCCCCCUACUGCAGAGUCAUGAUAGAGUUUGAUAAUUUGAUGAUGUAAGUUCGGUGCUUGUCCCACUACCACCUUCCCCUUUCGAAUGAGAGUGUUAUUAACCCAUGAGUAGUUGGAGUGUGAGCUAGCAUCCUUGGUGAGGUCUGCUAUAAGCUGUCUCAGGUUGUGAUCAGUGUCCCAAGUCUUCUUAAUGUCUUCCAUGAGAGAGGUGGAAAUGGAUGAAAGGGUUAAUGCACCCAACUCAUUGUGAGAAAUUCUGGAGAGGGCGUCUGCAGCUAGAUUGUCUUUACCCCUUCUAUAUUCAAUUUCAUAAUCAAAACCCAAUAGCUUAGUUAGCCAUACCUGUUGGGAAACAUGUGUAGUCUUCUGGUCUAGCAGGAAUUUGAGGCUGGAGUGGUCUGUCCUGAUAAGAAACCUUCUGCCCCAUAAGUAGUGCUUCCAUUUUGUAACAGCAAAAACAAUGGCCAGCAACUCCCUCUCAUAAGUGGACAGGGCUAGCUGUCUAGGACCUAAGGCUUUGCUUACAAAUGCAAUGGGGUGUCCUUCUUGCAUCAGUACCCCCCCUAUACCCACUCCUGAAGCAUCUGUUUCUACUACAAAUGUUUUGUCAAAAUUAGGCAGGGCUAGCACAGGGGGUUGGGACAUUGCGGCUUGGAGCUGUUUGAAGGCCAAGGUGGCUGUGUUUGUCCAUUUAAAGGAGUCUUUUUGUAGUAGCUGAGUAAGGGGUCUGCAAAUAGUUCCAUAACCUUGCACAAACUUUCUAUAAUACCCUGUUAAGCCUAGGAAACUUCUAAGUUGUUUGAUGGUUGUAGGUAUGGGCCAUUGCAAGAUAGCAGUAACCUUGUGUGGGUCUGUUGCUACUCCCUCUUUGGUGAUUACAUGUCCCAAGUAUUCCAUCUGUCGUGUCCCAAACACACACUUACUUUCCUUGGCUACUAAUUGAUGGGUACAUAGCAAUUCAAAUACCAAUCUAAGGUGUUGUAAGUGGUCGGCCAUGGUUUUACUGUAAACCAAUAUAUCAUCAAAGAAAACUAAAAUAAACUUCCUUAAAUGAGCUCGAAAAAUAUCAUUCAUUAAACUUUGGAAGGUGGCCGGUGCAUUAGAUAAGCCAAAGGGCAUGACUAGGAACUCAUAGUGGCCAUUAUGUGUUCUAAAGGCUGUUUUAAAAACAUCUUCUGAGACCAUGCGAAUCUGAUGGUAACCUGCCCUUAGAUCAAUUUUCGAAAAGAUGGCAGCCCCUUCUAGUUCUUCUAGCAGUUCAUCUAUUAUAGGAAUAGGGUACUUAUCUUUGAUAGUGAUCUUGUUGAGGGCUCUAAAAUCAACACAAAAUCGCCAAGUCUGAUCCUUCUUUGUCACAAGCACCACUAGAGAGGCAAAGGGACUGUGGCUGGGCUGCACUAUGCCUGCCUCCAGCAUUCAGCCACNNNNNNNNNNNNNNNNNNNNNNNNNNNNNNNNNNNNNNNNNNNNNNNNNNNNNNNNNNNNNNNNNNNNNNNNNNNNNNNNNNNNNNNNNNNNNNNNNNNNCCAUGCCCAGCCUGUCAAAGAUCUCGAUGACAAGCAAAUGAUGUAGGGGAAUCAUGACACGAAUUGGAAAAACUGGCCCCUUUUACUAAUUGACGCAAGUUGGCGCUUAUCGUACAGUCCUUUAGGCGAUAAAACAGAUAAUUCCAUGCCAGGGAAGAUCUCAUGGUUUUUAAUGUGAGACCCUUGUGGGGCCCAACGAGAGUUGGCUGUUGUGGGAUCCAUCAUGAAGCCAGAAUUGCCUUUCCAUUGGAGGAUAAAAGCUAAGGCUGCAAGAGAAAGAGGGAGGAGAGUUAGGAGGAGGAUUAGUCUUGAGGUGAAGGAUUGAGUGGAUAUGGUGGUUGAGGUAGCGGUGGAGGAGCGGAGGGGAGCGUGGAGGUGGUGGCUGGGCAUGGUGGUUGAGAGAGUGAGAGAGAGAGAGAGAGAGAGGGAUGGAACGGUGGACUGCUGGUAGUUAAGUUACAGGGAAUUUAAUUUUAAUUUUUGGUGGGAGAGAUUCGAGUGUGUUCUUAAUCAUAUAUAUAUAUAUAUAUAGACUGCUAGUACUUAAGUCAUAGAAGAAUUUAAUUUUAAUUUUUGGUAUAUAUAAUGAACACACUCGAAUCUCUCCCACCAAAGAUUAAAAUUAAAUUCGUGUGUGUGUGUGUGUGUGUGUGUGUAUCUGUGUGUGUGAUUUUAAAAAUAUAUUUUUAUAUUAAUUUAAAAAUAUUUUUAAUUGAAAAGGUAAUAAAGAUUUAAAUAAUAUAUAAUUUAAAUAUUACACUGCCAGGAGAUAUAAUAUUUUAAUAUGUUUUUAAUUAAAAAUCAUUUUAAAAAAUUAACAUGCACCACUAUGCAGAUAGUUUUUUUACUUUUUACUCUUAUAAAAGAUAUAUAAUAUAUACCUUUAAUCAAAGAUUAUGUCAUGAGGGUGUAGAGAUAAUUUAUAAUAAAUCUGUGUUAAGAUAUUAUAAAUUAGAGCUUUUAGAAAAAAUCUCCUCAUAUAUAUUAUUUUUUUCACUUUUUAAAACACAGAGAUGUAAUUUAUAUGUGGAUUUUCUAAUAUAUACUAAAAUGUUAUUGAUUAAAGUUUAAAUAUAUUAACCAUCUAGUGACCUAGUAAUAAAAGUUUGGGAUCAAAAAAUUUGUUUUCUCUGUGGUCUCAGAUUCGAGCCAUGUAGUUGCUCAUAUGAUGGCCACUGGAGACUUACAUGGUCGUUAACUUCAGAGCUCGUGGGAUUAGUCGAGAUGUACGUAAGCUGACCCGGACACCCACGUUAAACUAAAAAAAAAUUAAAUAUAUCAAACAGCUAUGAAAGUGACAUUCUCCAGUUUUACGAUUGAGCUACCAUCAUUUGCCUCCACAAUGAAGUGGUGCUUCGCCUAGGAAUUUGAGGAGGAAGAGCUAGUCCUUCUAUGGAUGGCGGAAGGUUUGAUUCAGCAGAACGAUGACAGCAGGCAGCUGGAGGAGUGAGGUGGUGAGUAUUUUCGUGAGCUUGUUUCAUGGUCCAUAUUUCAAGUGGCAACCAUUGAUUGCUCUCUCUAGGUGAUGCUUGACCUAGUAAAUGAUCUUGCUCGAUGGGCUGCGGGGGAAACAUAUUUUGGGCUCGAGGAUGAACUGGAGGCUCAUUGCAACCUGAAAAGGCUGAAAUAUAUAAAAGGUCUCGCUAUUCUUCUUAGAUGCUAUUUGGUAAUGCGCCGCAGCCAUAUAUUUUAAUGUUUGGUAAAAGAAAUAAAUCUGAUUUUAUUUGAUAGGAUCUAUUAAUUUUUGCUGCCCAGCCGCAGGAUUGGAGAUGCUUCUCGUGGUUAUUUUUAGGAACAGUGGAGGCUCCACUAUCGCAAUGUUUAGUUUUUUUUUUUUAUAAAAAACCAAUAAGAAAAGUUUAGUUUUUUUUUCUCCGAACACCAGUGUAGUUAAUCAUAUACAAUAUUUUUUUUUGUUUUUUUAAAAAAAUUAGUUUAAGGUGAAUUAAAUUUACUCAUACUAUAAUGAAAUUGUAAAUUUUUUUAAAAAAAUUAUGUUUUACUCGAAAAACUAGUAUUUAAUAUUAUUUAAUAACACUACAUAAAUUAGAAAGAUAUCGCAUGAUGACGUAGUAUUUGUGAAAUUUGAUCGCAAUUCCAAUAAUAAAGAUAUCACAAUCUUUAUUAUUUAAUAACACUACAUAAAUUAAAAAAUUCAGUUUUUGUUGUUGCGCGCUUAAGAAACCAUAGUUUAAUGACAUUGCACAUAGUUUAAUGAAAUAAUAAAAAAUAUUUGAUAUCAAUAUUAUUUAUUUCAUGAUGUAAUAACAGUAGUUAAAUUUACAAUAUUUAAAUUAAAAAUCAUUAAUAUAUAUAUAUAUAUAUAUAUAUAUAUUAAUUAUUUUAUAACCUCAAUUUGAAAAUCAUUUUUUUAACCAAACAAAUUAAAACUACUUUUUUUUCAACCUCAAUUUCAACCACAGUUUUAAUCAAACACUUAUUUUUUCAAACCAAUCUCAACUAAAAGUAUUUUUUAUAAAAUAAUUUUUUUCAAACCACAACCACAACAACUACCGCAAUACCACAGACACUCUUACACUCAUGAUGAUUAUGAUGGCAUAAAAAAGUUUGAGGCCUUUCAUAAAGCCAAGUGUUCAAGGGCCUUUCUACCAUUCCGACAUGGUGAGACGAGCUACGUAACUAUAAUGUCGUUGGUUUGCUGCCAAGUUUGAAGAGGUUGAGGGUUCUAAGUUUGAGUGGUUAUAAGUUAUAACAUCUCUGAGCUACCUAGUUCCAUUGGGGAGUUGAAACUCCUGAGGCACCUGGACCUCUCAUCCACCAUGAUUAGAAGUUUACUGGAGUCAACAGGUUUCCUAUACAACUUGCAGACAUUGAUUUUAAGUGACUGUUCUUAUCUCACAAAGUGGCCUUCAAAAAUGGGGAAUUUAAUCAAUUUAUGUUAUCUUGAUAUACAGAUGUGUAUUUGAUAGGUGAGAUGCCAUUAGGAAUUAAAAAUCUUAAGCGUCUUCGCAAACUGUAUGAUUCUGUUGUCAGCAGGAAAAUUGGGCAUGGGAUAGAGGAGCUAAUGGAUUUAAACUUUCUCUGUGGAACGCUUUGCAUUUCAAGGUUAGAGAAUGUGGUUGAUCAUCGGAGAGCAAGGCAGGCCAAUUUACCGGAGAAGCAGGAUCUAGAAGCUUUGGUGCUGAAAUGGAGUUCUGAUAUCACCGAUUCAAGAAAUGAAAGGAUUGAAAAUGAUGUAUUAGACAUGCUGCAACCUCAUCAGGGGCUGAAAGAGCUGACAAUCAACUCUUAUUCUUCCACAGAGUUUCCAUCUUGGGUUGGAGAUCCUUCCUUCUCUAACAUGGUGCUUCUAAGUUUGGAGAAUUGUGAAAACUGCACAUCCGUGCCAGCUCUUGGGCUUUUAAAAUCGCUCAAGGACCUUUCCAUCACUGGGAUGAGUGGACUGCAGAGCAUAGGUCGUGAGAUUUACGGGGAAUGCUGCUCAAAUCCUUUUCCUUCACUGGAGACUCUUUAUUUCAAAGACAUGCCUGGAUGGAACUACUGGCAUGCCAACGGCGAAGAACAAGUUGAAGUUUUCCCUCGCCUGCAUAAGCUUUCUCUCUUGAAUUGUUCUCGGGUAUUGGGAAGAUUGCUAUAUUAUCUUCCUUCAUUGAAAGAGCUAGUUAUUUGUGAAUCCAAGUGCUUGUCGGUUUCUAUUUCAAGUUUUCCGAUGCUCCGUAAUUUAGAUGUUGAUGGAUGCAAGGAAUUAAUCUGCAGAAGCACGACUCAGUUUAGCUCACUCAACUCCGUGGUUCUUUCAUGCAUUUCAAAUUUCAGUUUUCUAACUUUGGGCUUCAUGCAAGGGUUGGCAGAAUUUAAGAAUUUAAAGAUUACUGGUUGCCAGGAGAUCACAGAUUUUUGGCAAAAUGGAGUCAGAUUACUACAACAUCUGAGUUCCUUACGUUAUUUGAAAAUCAGAAGUUGUUCCAGACUUGUUUCCUUUGGUGCAGAGGAGGAAGGACAAGAGCUGAAACUCGGCUUGCCUUGCUCUCUUGAAAUGCUGAAGUUAAUUGAUUGCGAAAGCCUUCAGCAACCAUUAAUUUUGCAUGGUCUCAGAUCCCUUGAAGAGCUACAUAUUGAAAAGUGUGCAGGGCUGGUUUCCUUUGUUCAAACCACUUUGCCUUGCACUCUUAAAAGGCUAUGCAUCAGUUACUGUGAUAAUUUGCAGUAUUUGCUGGAGGAGGAAAAGGAUGCCAACAUUAGCAGCACAUCUCUUCUUGAGUACUUGGAUAUCAGGAAUUGUCCAUCUCUCAAGUGCUUAUUGUCAAGAAGAAAAUUACCUGCUCCUCUUAGACAGCUUGUGAUUUGAGACUGUCCAGAACUGGGUUCAAUAGCUGAGACAUUUUGCUACAUGUCUCCUGAACAAAUCGAGAUCAAAUAUUGUGGAAAACUCGCUUGCUUACCUGAGGGUCUGAACAUGCUCAGUCAUCUUCAGGAGAACACUAUAUGUAACUGUUCAAGUAUACUUUCGUUCCCUGAAGGAGGGUUUCCUGCCACCAGUCUGCGAAAGCUCUACAUGGGCUGGUGCGAGAAGCUCAAGGCUCUGCCGGAAAGAUUGCGAAGUCUCACCUCUCUUGUAGAGUUGGAUAUUCAUACACGCCCGAGCUUUGUGUCUUUCCCACAAGAGGGUUUCCCAACAAACUUGACAUCACUUCUGAUCACAAAUCUCAACUUCUGUAAGCCUCUCUUAGACUGGGGAUUACACAGGCUUGCCUCUCUUACUCGCCUCUUCAUUACAGCCGGAUGUGCACAUAUUUUAUCUUUUCCAUGUGAGGAGACAGGAAUGAUGCUGUCAACUUCUCUAUCCAGCAUGUCCAUUGUAAAUUUCCCGAAUCUCCAAUAAUUAUCCUCCAAUGGUUUCCAGAACCUCACCUUCCUUCAAGAGCUUUGGAUCUCUGAUUGCCCAAUGCUCAAAUCCCUACCAGAAAAUGGCUUGCCUUCCUCACUUUUGGAACUAUACAUCCAUGAUUGUCCUCUACUAAAACAGAAGUGCAAAAAGGAUACAGGGAAAGAUAGCCCACAUCCCUUGUGUUUAUAUUGAUAACAGCUUCAUUUAUGAUUCAGAGGAUGAAGAAUGAAUUCCAUUUCAUCUCAGAAGAAAGCAACAGCAUAGAAGCUGAUAUUUGCUUCCUCCUAUUCUUGUAUUCGACUCAGUAUGUCAGUUGCUGGAAGUACACAUAUUUAUCAGCAUUAAGCUAUCAUUUUCUUCCAUGAUGAUAAAUGUCAAUUAAACCUCAAGAAAUUGAACAGAAAAGAGUAUAAGAUGAUGAAAAAAUGGAUGGAAUCCAUUUUUAUCUUGUUUUAUAUACUCUGAAAUUUUAAGUAGAUAUUUCCCUGUAUUUGAAAAUUGAUACCAGACUUUAUUCUUUCAUUGUCCAAAAAACAGGCACUCAGAGCCUGCUAGCAUAAUAUGAAGAUCAAUCAUGUAAAUGGCAGAAUAAUGAUUGUCUAAUACUGAUGUAAAAAAAAAAAAGGGGGUUUUCCAGAUCUUCUGAGCUCCUAUAAGUUGAUAUUGGCCAUCUCAAUUAUCUUUGUGAGCCAUAAGUCCUGGUCCUGCCAGUGGUUUUCCAGAUAUGAAAAUAUUCAGAAGGAAAUGCAGAUGCUUCCUAGUUCUCAUCUCCAUUCCAUAAUCUUGGAUUUUCAUGCCUCUAGUCCGUAGAUGCCCUACUUUUGCAGUCAUGAACUUUCGGUGUUGGCUGGUAAAAGUAUCUAUUGCUACAUGGAUGUUAAAGGUUACUCUAACUCUGCAAUGACUGAAGUUGGGGCAGACUAAUGCAUGAAGAGUUUUGUCAUUUGUAUUGAUCCAUUACUGUGAAGGCACAAAGAAUUUCGUGGACUCUGUUAAUGGGCUUGUAAGCACUAGGCAUGUGUAUUUAGGUCAAGAUUUUUAAUUUCGUUUUGGUAAGUGUUUUGUUUUUUCAAUUGGAAAGAAAUAUUUUGAUUUUAGAGUGUUUCAGUGUGCCAUUUCAUGGUUAUAUUAUUCAUAUAUAUAUAAUUCAACAAACAUAAUUCAAAUUCAAAAUAAAUUAAUUAUAAAUGAUGCAAUACAAACACAAUGUCAAACAAAUAUAAUUUUAAAAUUUAAAUAUUUCUAAAUAGUCAAGAUUAAAUAGAACUUUAACUUAAAGUAAUUCAAAUUAAACAAAAUAUUAAUUUGAUUUAAUGGCUUUUCAAAUCCGGAACGAAACAUGUGAAAUGAAACUGGAAGAUUCCGACCGAAAUUUAUCUGAAAAAUCCGGAACGGACCGAGAUUUAAAAUGAGAUGAAAAUUGUUCUAUUUUAUUCUUUUUUUUUUAAUUAGUAUGAAAUGUUUCGGCCAUUCCGGAUAAAACGAAACAGAAUUAACAAUCUUAGUUUAGGCAGACUAUUUAUAGUUUUGAAGUAGAAAAGAUAAAGAUGAGAUAUUAUUAGCAUAUAAAUUUAUUUUAUGAUAAAAAUGUCUUUGUCUGUGUUAAAAUAAAAAAAAUAUAUAUUUUUAUCUUUAUAUUUUUAAUUAAACAUGUUUUUAUCUAUUUUUAUAUUUGUAUAUUAAAAACAUACUUGUCUUAGCUAGAACCGCUUAAAAAAAAUCAACUCUGAACCAAUCCAAAUGUCAAGGAGUAUUGCGAGUGAAGAUUUAUUGGCUGAGAAGAAAAUAUCUUCUCAUAUGGAUAUUUAAAGAGUAAUUUUUUUUUUUUUUUGGCUUUAAAAUCUCACUUUUUAUCAACCUAUGAGCCUAAUUCAACCAAAUUAAAUUGGAAUUUGUUUUUCAAAAAGUGCUUGAGCUAGUUGCUUGAACUUUUUGAAUGGUCCCUGAAGAUCAGAAUAGAUAAUACUCAAAGAAUAUGGUAUCUGACUUGGCUUCAUUCCUUUAAAGUUUUGUUCUUUGUUUCCUGAAUGGCUGCUUGAUUUCUUCUAUUAUUAUAUACCUCAAAAUGGAAUGUUCUUCCACCUAAAUAAAAGCAUAGAGUAGCCUAGUUUUGUUGAUCUUUCUAUUAAAAGAAUACAGAAAUGAAGAUAUUUUUUCAUAUCAAAUAACCUUCUCAACAUUAAAAAUAUAAAAAAUCAUACCAUUAGGUAUAAUUUUAAAAAUUAAAAUGUUGAUCUUAUACAUAGUUUUGUUAGAUAUAACGAAGAUAAUAAAAUUCGAGCUUCUAAACGUUUGCUUGUUAAAAAAUUAUCUCAAUACAAAAGCAUAAACGGCUAGUUAAGGCUCUAUGAAUGAUUUCAUACGAUUCUCUGGCACUUUAUACCUAAAGAAAAUUAUACUAUUCUAAUGUUUUGGUAAGGAGGACCUGUUUAUGCAUUGCUUUGGUCGGUAAUUGGAAUAUCUUCCUUGCUUUCACAUCAAUAGAUGGUUUUAAAUGUUCUCUUUUCUUUUAUAGGGUUUUUUUUCCCCUUUGUGGUCCAUUAGGGUAACAAUUGUCUCAGUUUGAGCUGCAAUGCAAAGAUAAAGCAGUGUAGCCAAAGCUAGACUGGUUGUUGUGUACAGGUUGCGAGUUCAACAAGCUGAACGGUUGCCUUGAGAUGAGUUAAGAUCCUGCCCUUAACUUCUCCUGUUAGGACUAUUUCAGGUCCAAAGAUGAAAUGGAAAUGGCUAAAGUAUUUGACAUUCUAACCGAGAAUUGACAGACAAGAACUAGUUUACUGCUUCAGACUGCUUGAAAAACUCCAGGGAAAUAUAAUAGUACUAAAGUGGAAACUGCAGGGGAUAAAAAACAGAAGAAAUUGAUGGUUUUAGUUUCUUUCUCUGACUUGCAUCUCCUAGCAAAAGAAACUUGAAGAAAAGGGAAUGGAAAUUGCUUGCCAGUUCCAUGGAGUAGAUUCUACUGUGGAAUCUUAAUUGUGGAGGUUACUGACAAAUGAAAACUUACCAACUAUUCAAAAGGGCAAAAAAAAAAAACCUAGCAAUUUGUAUCAUCUGAUGUUUUAAAAUUCAGAAAUGCUGGGCAAGUAGAUAGGACAUGGUUCUGAACAAAACCUGAUUGGAUGGAACCAUGCCAGCUUCACUCUUGAAUCCUCAUAGGCUCCAUUUCUUUCGGUGGAGAAUGGAAAAGGGGGGGAAAGGAGAGAUGACCAUAUCCAGCCUUCUAGACAAUGCAUGAUACAUUUUGGCAUGUUACUGUCUUUGAUAUAAAAAAAAAAUGAAAACAAUGGAGAUAAAAGAGUAUACGUUCCCUAUCUUUUCUAUUUUGAAAUGAUUGAAAUCCACUCCAAACCUAUCUCAAAUAUGUUUUUGUCUAUUUUUCUCCAGCCAAACAAGUUAUUAUCCCUUGUUUUGCAAAAUGAUCAAUAUCGUUAAUACUGUAAAGUGCUUAGAUAAUCUGUUUGUGUAGUUUGCCNNNNNNNNNNNNNNNNNNNNNNNNNNNNNNNNNNNNNNNNNNNNNNNNNNNNNNNNNNNNNNNNNNNNNNNNNNNNNNNNNNNNNNNNNNNNNNNNNNNNCGAAAAAAAGCUUGGAUUUCAGGCUGCAGCAGAUCAGGAAAAGUGUGACGAGAAAACGCACCUAAAUAAAUCAUCUUGUUGAAAUUAGUAACAACAGCAGGCAGAUGCCUAAACAACGAGAUCUGUGUUUGUUUCGAAUCCUUGAAAUGGUUGUCGGCUUUCGGAAAAAAAUGUUAAUACAGGGAAAAUUAACAAUCUACAUUGAUCUAUAACAAGGAUGAAAAGUACAAGCAAAUAAGGUAAGGAUUCCUUGGCUUAUGUAAAUCAAACUCAUUGUUGAAAAAGGAUGUAAGAAACAUAAGAACAUAUCUUACGGUUCUUUUCCUGUGUUGGUGGGGUAGCAAUGUCAUGUUCGUCUGUGACAAUGCCAUGUUCUGUGGUAUUUGUCCCAAAGCUCAACUCCUUAAGCUUAAUUUUGUCCUUGGCAAAACACAGAUUCCAAAUUAGGGAUUCUUAACUCUAAUUAACCUCUGAAAUUAUGCAGAUCAACCAUGUAAAUGACAAAAUAAAUAUUUGUUUCAUUGUGCUGCAGGUUAACUGGAAGCCUUGAAUUAAGCAAGGGAAGAACGAAGGGGAAAGAGGUUUGAGAAGGGAGAAGAAGGUUAUCACGUCCAGAACGUGUUGAGAGAAAGAGAGAACAGGGAAUAGAGUUUGAGAAUUCUGUUGUAAAAUUUCCACACCUUUCUGUUACAAUGAUUAGGGAAUUUAAAGACAAUAUUGUAAAUGCCAGCGUGGCAUCACUACGUGGCUGUACCAGCUGGCCUACUAGAAUAUAAAAUGAAGCUGCACAAAAACGCAGCCGUUUGGUUCCAUUUAUUUAAAAAUCAAAAUCCUGUUUCACUUUCCCCUUUGCUCGUUUGUGCCUUCUUUCCUUCUGUUCGUGACAAUGCCCCGUCCAUGAAAUCAACCUUGUCCUCAAGGUGGAAUUGAGGGAAUCGCCACUCAAACUCCUCAGCAUCCUCCCAGGUUGCUUCUGUCAAAGGUAAGUUUUUCCAUAGAAUCAAAAACUGAGUUGAUGCUGUAUUUCCCUUUUUGAUCAUUCGUCUCUCAACAAUUUUCUGUGGUUGUAGCAGGGGUUGUGCAGAGACAAUGGGGAGAUCGGACUGCACCACAUGGUUGCCUACAUGCUUCUUUAAUUGGGAAACGUGAAAGACGGGGUGGAUCACGGCAGUAGCAGGUAAUUGUAGUUUAUAUGCCACUGUUCCAAUUUUCUUGAUGAUUGUGUAGGGGCCAUAAUACUUUGCUGAUAAUUUGUAAGAGGGUCGCCUGUGAACCGAUUUCUGUCGAUACGGUUGUAGUUUCAGAUAGACUAAGUCACCCUCAGAAAACAUCCUUUCACUUCUUUUCUUGUUGGCUUGCUGUGUCAUUCGGUUUUGUGCUUGCAAUAAAUUGCUCCUGAUGAGUUUGAACAUGUCUUCUCUUUGGGUUAAAUACUGGUCCACAGCCUCCACGGGUGAAUCCUUAGGCGUAUAGGGAAUGUGAACUGGAGGCCCCAUUCCAUAUAAGAUCUCGUAGGGUGUCUUCUUAGUAGAGGAGUGGUAGUUUGUAUUGUACCACCAUUCACAGGAGCUCAGCCAGCGUCCCCAUUGUGCAGGGAUGGUUCCUGUCAUGCAUCUUAGGUAGCCCUCGAUGCAUUUAUUGACCACUUCUGUCUGUCCAUCAGACUGUGGAUGAUAGGCUGUAGAGUAUUGCAAAUUGACCCCCUGCUGUUUGAAUAACUCCUUCCAAAACUGGCUGAGAAAAAUGCUGUCUCUGUCACUCACAAUUGUUGCUGGCAUCCUAUGCAAUUUAUACACAUUUUCCAUAAAGACCUUGGCUACUGUAAUGGCAGAGUAGGGGUGGGUGAGGGCCAUAAGAUGGGCAUACUUACUAAACCUGUCGACCACCACAAAAAUGACUUCCUUCCCUUCUGAUUUUGGCAGUCCCUCAAUAAAAUCCAUGCUAAUAUCUAUAAAAGGAGCAUGUGGUACUGGUAAUGGUUGCAGUAGACCUGGAGGCUUGACAUUUUCCCCCUUGUUCUGUUGACAAACUGGACAUUCCCUGACGUAUUGCCUCACCAGCUUUUGGAGUUUCUUCCAAUAGAACACCUGCCCUAAUUUUUUUGAAGUAACCGUAGCUCCUGAAUGCCCCCCUACUGCAGAGUCAUGAUAGAGUUUGAUAAUUUGAUGAUGUAAGUUCGGUGCUUGUCCCACUACCACCUUCCCCUUUCGAAUGAGAGUGUUAUUAACCCAUGAGUAGUUGGAGUGUGAGCUAGCAUCCUUGGUGAGGUCUGCUAUAAGCUGUCUCAGGUUGUGAUCAGUGUCCCAAGUCUUCUUAAUGUCUUCCAUGAGAGAGGUGGAAAUGGAUGAAAGGGUUAAUGCACCCAACUCAUUGUGAGAAAUUCUGGAGAGGGCGUCUGCAGCUAGAUUGUCUUUACCCCUUCUAUAUUCAAUUUCAUAAUCAAAACCCAAUAGCUUAGUUAGCCAUACCUGUUGGGAAACAUGUGUAGUCUUCUGGUCUAGCAGGAAUUUGAGGCUGGAGUGGUCUGUCCUGAUAAGAAACCUUCUGCCCCAUAAGUAGUGCUUCCAUUUUGUAACAGCAAAAACAAUGGCCAGCAACUCCCUCUCAUAAGUGGACAGGGCUAGCUGUCUAGGACCUAAGGCUUUGCUUACAAAUGCAAUGGGGUGUCCUUCUUGCAUCAGUACCCCCCCUAUACCCACUCCUGAAGCAUCUGUUUCUACUACAAAUGUUUUGUCAAAAUUAGGCAGGGCUAGCACAGGGGGUUGGGACAUUGCGGCUUGGAGCUGUUUGAAGGCCAAGGUGGCUGUGUUUGUCCAUUUAAAGGAGUCUUUUUGUAGUAGCUGAGUAAGGGGUCUGCAAAUAGUUCCAUAACCUUGCACAAACUUUCUAUAAUACCCUGUUAAGCCUAGGAAACUUCUAAGUUGUUUGAUGGUUGUAGGUAUGGGCCAUUGCAAGAUAGCAGUAACCUUGUGUGGGUCUGUUGCUACUCCCUCUUUGGUGAUUACAUGUCCCAAGUAUUCCAUCUGUCGUGUCCCAAACACACACUUACUUUCCUUGGCUACUAAUUGAUGGGUACAUAGCAAUUCAAAUACCAAUCUAAGGUGUUGUAAGUGGUCGGCCAUGGUUUUACUGUAAACCAAUAUAUCAUCAAAGAAAACUAAAAUAAACUUCCUUAAAUGAGCUCGAAAAAUAUCAUUCAUUAAACUUUGGAAGGUGGCCGGUGCAUUAGAUAAGCCAAAGGGCAUGACUAGGAACUCAUAGUGGCCAUUAUGUGUUCUAAAGGCUGUUUUAAAAACAUCUUCUGAGACCAUGCGAAUCUGAUGGUAACCUGCCCUUAGAUCAAUUUUCGAAAAGAUGGCAGCCCCUUCUAGUUCUUCUAGCAGUUCAUCUAUUAUAGGAAUAGGGUACUUAUCUUUGAUAGUGAUCUUGUUGAGGGCUCUAAAAUCAACACAAAAUCGCCAAGUCUGAUCCUUCUUUUUCACAAGCACCACUAGAGAGGCAAAGGGACUGUUGCUGGGCUGCACUAUGCCUGCCUCCAGCAUUUCAGCCACUAGAGUCUCUAGAGUGUCCUUUUGUAAGCCUGAGUAUCUGUAGGAUCUUAAAUUGACAGCCUGGCUCUCGUCCUUCAGGGGUAUUUUGUGAUCAUGUCUCCUAGCUGGGGGCAACCCUUGGGGAUCACAAAAAAUAUGCUGGUAGGCUGUUAGUAGAGUCUGUAAUGGUGAGUCCUCAUUGCCUUCCCCAGCAUGUGGUAUUCCCUGAGCAGGGUUUACCAAUUCAGCCUUUCCCACCACUCUCAAGCUGCAAAGCCUGACUUCAGAUAAUAAGGUUUCAGUGCUAAGCAGUCCAUUUAGUUCCUCUAGGCGUAUAGAUUGAGCAAUUCUAGGAUUUUCUCCUCUUAAAGUUACUUCUCUGUUCUGCCACCAAAAGGAUACCCAUCUAUCUUCAUAGUUGGACAAUACAUUUCCUAGCAGCUUCAACCAUUGGAUUCCCAAAAUCAUAUCAUAGUUUUGUAACUUCAUAACAUAUAUGUCUGCCUGAAACUGAACUCCUUGCAUCUUCCACUGCAGGUUCUUACAUACUGAAGUGCAAGACAUGGUGCCACCAUUAGCUGCCUCCACCACCAUAGGCUUUAUGGUUGUCGUGGGGCAUUCAAGUUUGUCCAUCAGAUCAGCAUGAAUGAAGUUGUGAGUACUGCCCGAAUCAAUCAAGAUUAAGAUGGGACAUUUGUCUAUCUUUCCCCAUACCUUAAUGGUUUGACAUCCUGCUGUGCCAUGGAUUGCUUGGAGAGAUAGAUGAGGGGUGAGAUUUUCUGUAUUCCUUGCCUCCAUGGUUUCCUCUUCUUCUGAUGAAUUAUCUCCAUCAUCCUCUACUAUACAGAGGGAAUAUAGCUUGCGAUUUCUGCAUCUAUGCCCUGGUACGAACUUAUCAUCACACCAAAAGCAUAGGCCCUUGGCUCUUCUUUCAUCCAUUUCUUUGGUUCUGAUAGGUCUGGCAGGUUUGUGGUUAGGGUAUACAUUAUUAUUGUUGAAGGGUGGGUUGGUAGGCGUAGGCAACAAGGCUGGUGGGGAAGGUUUUGAAGGAUUGAAGGGGUGACUGGGGUUGGUCUUGUAAGUGCUGGCAGGAUAUGUAAAUUUUGCAGGCUGGGAGUUGGAACUUGCCAGGCUAUGUUGUUUUGGGUAAUGAGGGGUGAUUUUUCGGUAUGUGAGGGUAUUGUUGUGCAACCUAGCUAGGUUGUAAGCUUGUUUGAGUGAUUUUGGCUCGAACAUUUUUACUAGGUUCUUGAUUUCUAUCUCCAAGCCUCCUAGGAAGAACACCAAGGCCUGCUUCUCUGAGAUUUGUGCUCUAUUCCAUAGCAUAUCAAAGUCCCUGAUAUAACCUUCCAAGUCUCCUUCCUGCUUGUGCUCAGUGAGUUCUUCUAAGGGGUCCUUUUGACCUCCAAAUCGACAGCACAAUGCAUCCACAUAUUCUGCCCAUGUAACCUCAUGUCCUUCUAGGUUUCUGGUAUAAUUCUGAUGCCAGUAAAGUGCCAAGCCAUCCAAAUAAUAUGAAGCUAGUUUCAGUUUGUCAGUCUCAGGAAUUUCUUCUAAGUCGAAAUACUGGUUGCAUUUGUACAACCAUUUAUGCACUUCUUCCCCUUCAAAAGAAGGGAAAUCUCGCCGGGGUCUGCGUGACCUGUAGGUAGGUGGUCCUUCUCCUGUCCAAUCUUGGUUGCUGGCCGGAGCAGGGUGUUGGGGCAUUCGAACAUGCUGGGAGGAACUUGCUUCACCCGCCAAGGUUUGCAGGGUUUGUUUAAUAGAGAUUUGUUGAUUUGCCAUUUCCUUCAUCAUGGCUUUCAGCUGGGCUAGGUCAUCUGACUGAGCGUGCAACUUGACUUCUAUUCCAUUGACUCUUUGAUUAGCAGCUUCCAAAGAAUCAUCCAUUCUUCUUACAUCUUGGGAUCUAGUUUCUGGUGCCAUUUGUUGAAUCCAAAGAUGAUGGCUCUGAUACCAAUUUGCUGCAGGUUAACUGGAAGCCUUGAAUUAAGCAAGGGAAGAACGAAGGGGAAAGAGGUUUGAGAAGGGAGAAGAAGGUUAUCACGUCCAGAACGUGUUUGAGAGAAAGAGAGAACAGGGAAUAGAGUUUGAGAAUUCUGUUGUAAAAUUUCCACACCUUUCUGUUGCAAUGAUUAGGGAAUUUAAAGACAAUAUUGUAAAUGCCAGCGUGGCAUCACUACGUGGCUGUACCAGCUGGCCUACUAGAAUAUAAAAUGAAGCUGCACAAAAACGCAGCCGUUUGGUUCCAUUUAUUUAAAAAUCAAAAUCCUGUUUCACUUUCCCCUUUGCUCGUUUGUGCCUUCUUUCCUUCUGUUCGUGACAAUCUCAAUGGAAACAAGGACUUCAAUGAGGCAGAACUUCUUGCCAUACAAAAGCCCUCCAACUUUUUGCUGGAUUCCAUGGAGAAAAAGCUGAAACUGUUUUUAAUACAUAAUGGAUUUGCUUCAAGACUUCACGCAAAGCAACUACAAGUUCUCCGCACUACUCUUAUAUUGCAGAUUGUUCUUUUGUUUAGACUGUGUAUGGAUUUCAUUUUUACCUUGAGCUUCUGCUCUGCUCAUUUUCUAUUUUUCCUGAUCAAUCAGAAGUUUCUCUAUGGAUCUGGAACUAUAUACUGUUCCUAACUUAAUAAACUUGUACAAGAUCAUUAAAAAAAAGGGAGGGAGCAAGUACUUCCAAGACUAACCAAGACAAUGAACAUGCAUGCUUGUUGAUAAAGAAUAAUAUAAAAUUAAAAUUAUAUCUCAGAAUCUCGUUUAAAAACUUCCUUUAUUUUUUAACAUGAUAACAAAGUCCAAGUCUUGUUGACCAAAAUUAAAAUAGUAGCAGUAACUAAUCCAUCAGGAAUUCAAAUCUCACAAUUGUAAUCUCAUUGUUUUACCCUCACCUAAAGUGACUAGAUGAUAACAUGCUCGUUUGCUUGAGAUGGUAGCAGAUAAAAUGCUCGUUCGCUUCGUGAAUUAUUCCCAAAAGUUUCAAACUUGUAAAAUCUUCAACUUCUAACCGAAAUUUCUCUAAUAUGAAUAAUCCGGGUGGCAUGUCCGGAGAGCAAAACUAAUAUGAUUUUUUAAAAUCAAGCUCCUGUCAAAUGGCAGGGCUCUACUUUUGUUGCCAUGAAAGCAUACAAGAAGCUAGUUAUGGAAUCUGAUGGGAAGAAGAAAAUCAAACAACACUUGAAGAUUGUGUUUAAGUAUGGUAAAUGGAGAGAUGAUGAUGGAAUACUGAUCUACUGGCAGAGACUUGUAUAAUUGUUCUCAAAGAACGAUCAAUUGAAGAGUUGCAUUGCAGUAUAUGACAUUUUUUAAGGCACGAGUGGUACAAUUGUGGAGGAAUUUUGUGUCUCUAUGGGACUACUAAUUUCUCAGGCUAGCUAUAACCCAUGGAAAGGAAAGAUUUUCUCAUUUAUUGAUUAAUCUAAGCUCUGCAUGAUCAAUGGUGACAACCUUAUAUGAAAAUCCGAGUUUAUUAGAGAACUGGAUUCCAGCGAGGGAUCAAGUUUUACAAAGAUUUAUGACCGGGUAUUACAGUUUGUAAUGACAUAAAGUAGUGAUAGGAUGGUAAAGAGGGUUUUUGUCUUCACAAAUCUGGAUUUUAGAGAUUCAACGAAGGAAAAAUAGGCAGCAGAAUACAGAGGGGCAUGGAAGAGCUAUAGGAAGAGAGGGUUCAAAACUGUACCUGAGAUUGUUUUUUGGAAUCCUAAGGGUUGCAAACCUAAUCGUAAAGUAAUUGAUAGUCAAGUUGAUCACCACCAUAGAGGGAUAGCAGUGGUUAAAGGGUUUUUUUGUAAAAAAAAAAAACUUAUCAAGUUCUUGAUGGGAGAUGAUCAUUCUACAAAUGCUUACACACAGCAAGAGGAGAAGUUGACAGAGAAGAGCUUGGUUCCAGAGAUGGAUGAGAUUUUAAGCUCUGCAACUAGCCGGGAUGAAUUCAAGAAUCUAAGUGUAAUGGAUUGAUGAUGUGCAAAUGAAUUGAACAAUAUGUUUGUAGUAGCUCAAAAUUUCUCUUCUAUUCAAGUUUAAGUACUGAGCUUUGCACUAAUCUUUUCUCUCCUAGCUUGGCUAAUUAUUUUCUCUAUUUGCUAUACUGAAACUUAGGCAUUUUUUGUCUGGUUUGUAUCAAUUGAAAAGAAUUAACCAAAAGUUUACACUUUCUUAUGAAAUAUAUCACAUAAAGAAAGGACAUUGAGAACGGUGAUGACGGGUCCUGCUAGGGACUACAAAAAUGUGUACUGGAAUGAUACAUGAAUAAUGAUCAACCAGGAGUAAUUUCUGACAAAUUAAUCAAAUAACUACAAAGAAAAACCAAAUUGGAAUCUACAAGAUUUGCCAAGAAAGCUAGUUUUUGAAGCAUUGGAAACCAGAUUUUGAUGUUUUCAGAAAAACUACGCGCAGGAAAACAGUGAGCAGGAACAGUAUCCAAAUGAAAAUUCUCUGGCUACCUACCCAAUUACUCAUUAAAAGCCUUAACUCUCUGAUUCAGCUGGUUUCCAAUGACAUCUGUUCUCAUUUUCUCCGCACAAUAAAUGGCAAGCACUCUCCUCUAACUAUAAGGCUACAAGUGUUUUUUUUUAUGUCACAUUAUCUGUCAUCUUAAUUCUGUCAUUGGAAAACAGAGACACCAUUAAUAGUUGCUUGCAUUUGCAGCAUCGAUCACAUGGAAGUAACUAGGAGGAGCCUGGAAGUAAAUGGAAGGUAUAAUUGCUUGCGUACAAGACUGUCCAGCAAGUAAUUAAAGCCAGACAAUACUUUAAUUUGGUUGGUAGUAAAUUUGGACUUUAUUAUUUGUGAUUUGAACGAUUUGUCCACCACGACAUGGAAUCACUCUUGACUUUUGUUACUCAAAACAUUAAAUUAUAGUGGUAGAAAUAGAGUCAAUAUCUACCAUCGUGUUAUAUAUGGUGGAAGCAAAGGUGAAAUUGCACUCAAGACUCCAAACGAGUGUAAUUUAAUAGAGAAUUAUUUUGAUUUUUUUAUAUUUUUAAUUUAUUUUGAUAUAUUAAUAUAUAAAAUAUUCUUUAAAAAAUAAAAAAUAUAUUAUUCUACUAUAUUUUCAAGCAAAAAAAUAUUAAAAAAUAACAGCUACAUACCACCCUCUCAAACUUUAAUUUUUUAUAUAGGUUCAUCCCCUUUUCUUAAAUUCAAAUUAAAAUAAUAAUAAUAAAGUCAUGGAGAAAGAAAUUUAUGCCAACGACAUGAAAAAUCUAAAUAACCAUUAUUAAAGAGCUCUCUCUCUCUUCCUCUCUUUACAUUCAAGCACCUUAUUUGCUGUUGAGCUUCAUGUGUAUAUACAACUAUUAUAUAUGAAGUACAGGACACUACUCCUAAUUAAUUACUUUCGGUGAGUUUGUUGAUAUAUGGAGAUCAAUAUUUAAUUCAAAAAUUAUAUAUAUAUAUAUAUAUAUAUAUAUAUAUAUAUAUAUAUAUAUAUAUAUUAACCAGAAAAAGAAUACGACAAAAAGAAGAAGAAGAAGAAGAGAUCCUUCCAAGAAAUUUGAAGCUAACCCUAAUCUAAAUUUCUUGGUCAUAUCCAACCCUAAUCCAUAGUCACAGAUACGGGUCCAAAAUGUAGGGUUUUUUUGUAUAAUAAUUUUUGUGGUCAUGGUCUAAAAUUCUACGUCGAAAGUCAGUAAAAAGGAUCAUUUCUAAUGUCCUAUUACAACUAAACAAUGAAUUAAAUAAGCUUGAUUUUGUAGACUCCAAGGAUCAAAGUCUGCUAGAACAAAAAAAGAAAAAUAACCAUAAAAAAAAACAUUUUAAAAAAAUUGUAAAGCAACAAGAAAGUUAAAAAAAGUAAAUAUAUAUAUAUAUAUAUACACACACUCGAAAAGAACUGGAAGUUGCUUAUAUAAUAGUGUAACAGAUAGAGAAAGAGCGUUAACGUGGAGUGUACACUGAAAGCAAAAACCGAAAAGCUUCCUGUCAUUCACACUUCGUCUUCACGCGGUAUCUCUUUUCUCUUUGAAUGAAAAAAAAAGGGGCCAUAUAUUUAUUUCCACAGAAACAGAGAAACCCAAUAAGGGAAAAGCAAAAAAGACACCACCACAAAAUUCUAGAACCAAAGAAACAAAGAACAACGAGAACGGGAGCAUUCGAAGUUGUUAAAGCAGAUGAUGUUGAGAUCGUGGUACAGACCAUUAGAGAGGUGUUUUGGUCGGGUAGCAGGUGGUGGUGGCGGUGAUGGAUUGAUGUGGCAUGCUGAUUUAAAACAACAUGCGUCUGGUGAUUAUUCAAUUGCGGUUGUUCAAGCUAAUUCUAAUUUAGAAGAUCAAAGUCAGGUUCUUACGUCCUCCUCCGCUACUUAUGUUGGUGUUUAUGAUGGUCAUGGCGGUCCUGAAGCUUCCCGAUUUGUCAAUAAACAUUUGUUUCCUUACAUGCAUAGUGAGAAUUCUCUCCUCUCUCUCUCUCUCUCUCUCUCCCCUCUUGUUUAUUUUUUUUUCUUUUGUUUGUUUUGUUUUUUGUCUUAAUUAGUUGUUUUCUUGAUUGUAAUGAUCAUGAUCACGGUGAUUAUCUUAAACCCUGAAUUUAUUUGUGGUUUUGAUGUCUUAAUCUAUUGGUCCUGUGGUUAAGGACUCAAGGUCCAGUCUUUGUGUGUUUGAGUUUGAAUUCCCAAACCCCAUAUCACAAAUUAUAGAAAGGAAAGAGAGUUUUAUUAUUAUUAUUAUUAUUAUUAUUAUUAAUCAUACGUUAUCUAAUUCUUCAUUUUUUACUAUCUUUUCUUUGGUCACCUUUCCCUUGUUCGUGCUAGUGCAAUAGUAUGUAUUAAUAUCUUUUCCAUUUCAAUAGAAUGAAUCUCGAUGUGAGAGGCUGGAGUUUGCUUUUGUGGGUUUAGUUAUGUUAGUGUUAGGGUGACAAGUUGUAGAAAACCUUGAAAGUUUCUAGCUUUAUUGAAUUGGAGCUUUGUUUGUUUGUGUUUUUAUUGUGUUUUUAUUUGUGGGCCGAUUGGAAAAGAAACUAGAUAAUAUGUGAUAAAAAUAAAAAAUUUGGCUGCCUAAGACGUGGACUAAACUGGCCUCUAUGCAACAGACUUCUUCGUAAUUGUGUCAUUCUCUAUCUAAGAUGUUAGUUUUGAUUGCAGAAUUUGCUACAGAGCAUGGGGGGUUAUCAGCUGACGUGAUAAGGAAGGCAUUUAAUGCAACUGAAGAGGAGUUUUGUCAUUUAGUGAAGCGAUCAUUACCAUGGAAGCCACAAAUUGCUUCUGCUGGAUCAUGUUGUUUGGUUGGAGCUAUUUCAAAUGAUGUGUUAUAUGUUGCGAACCUUGGGGACUCCAGGGUAGUUCUUGGCCGAGGAGUUGAUGAGGAUAAGAAAAAAAAGGUAGUGGCAGAAAGGUUAUCAACUGAUCACAAUGUUGCUGUUGAGGAGGUGAGAAAGGAGGUUCAGGCGCUUCAUCCUGAUGAUUCACAUAUUGUAGUCUAUACUCGUGGAGUUUGGAGGAUUAAGGGCAUUAUACAGGUAAAAUGGCUUCUUGUUGCUGAGCAGCUGGUCUUCUUGUUCCUGUUUUUGCUUGUUAGUUAUGAGAAUUCGGCUGAUUGGGUAUUGUUUGUUUGUGGCAUUAUACAUUCAUUCAUUUAGGUGCCAAAUAUGUUUCUUCAUCCUCUUGAUUGUCUUUCAAUGUCUUGCCAGGUUUAUUUUGAGUUACUUGGAUAACCUCUGUCUUAAAAACACUAUUUUGUAGUGUGUUUGACAUAAAGUAAUUGGUCUGAAGAUGGAUCAAUUCUGAAGGCAUCCAAUUUUAUGUUCGGUUCUCUUAUCUUUAUCUUUUGCUUUAUGAUAGGCAUCUGUCUAUGAUGGAAACACUAUAGUUAAAGUUGGCCUAGGGGUUACAUUCAUACCCUUCCGGGAAUCUUAUGCUCUGCCUCCUGGUCUACCAUUUCAUGCAAUCAAGUGAAGCAGUAUGUCUUCUGAUGCAUGAGAGGUAAAUGAAAACCCCUGAGGCCUAACAAGAAUGCUUAUGUAAUUACCGGAAGUCUUGAUCCUUUUUUUUUCCUUCUAUUUAACUUAUCCGGAGACUAGAAACAUCAUAGUGUGAUGUUCUGGUUGAUGAACUGAACCAUUGUGUUCAUUUGUUACUUGACUCCCUGAAGUUUUGGAGCUGAUUUACUAUCUUAGGCAUGUCGUAGAAGGUGGAAUAAACCUUCCCUGUUUCCUUUUUCCCUUUUCAGGUAUCUAGAUCCAUUGGUGAUGUGUAUCUGAAGAAACCAGAGAUUAACAGGGACCCAAUUUUUCAGCAGUUUGGGAACCCUAUUCCUUUGAAACGGCCAGUAAUGAAUCCAGAACCUUCCAUUCUCAAUAGAAAGUUGAGGCCAGAAGACUUGUUCCUGAUCUUUGCUUCAGAUGGUCUUUGGGAACAAUUGACCGAUGAAGCAGCUGUAGAGAUUGUUUUCAAAAACCCAAGAGCUGUAAGUUCCUGUCUUUGACUUAGAUGUUUCAUUUACUUUUUCUUGCAACUCUUAUUGAUAUUUAAAUCCCGGACCUAAUUUAUACUCUGAGGUUAGGCAAGUUAGGUUUUGAUGGGAUCCUUGGGAAUGAAAAUUGAAUUUCUUUUUCAUAAAACAAGCUUCAUCGAACCCAUGAGAAUGCAGAAUUCAGUUUCAUCUACUCGUAGCAUCUAAACGCACCGUAUUUCUGCUGAACAUGGACAUUGUUUUGGAAAUAGGAUAUUCCUGACAUCUGAACCUUUAAGCAAAUGUUUUGGCAAACAAACUAGAUGUCAUAGAUGUUCAAUUGUCUGGAGUUAUUUGUGCCUGUCCAAAUUUUGUUGCUUGCUUGACAAUUCUCUGGGCUGUUUUGACACCUGCAGGGGAUUGCUAAGAGAUUGGUGAGAGCUGCUAUUCAGGAGGCUGCAAAGAAAAGAGAGAUGAGAUACGAUGACAUAAAGAAAAUAAAAAAGGGAACGCGGCGGCAUUUUCAUGAUGAUAUCACUGUGAUUGUAAUUUAUCUUCAUCACCAAAAAGGUUCCUCCAAUGGUGGACUAAAGAAUAAUGUUGUUGGCUGCACCAGUGCUCCAGUCGACAUUUUCUCCCUUAAUGCAGAUCAAGCAGAGGUGGACUUGCUUCAAACAAUUUCUUGAACAAGGAAAAACCCUUUGAAGGGGUAAACACUGACUUCUUGAUUUCAAGGUAUAUUAAAGGAGAAUACAUUUAUGUAGAUGAAGUUAUAGCGGGUUCUGGUGUUAGCCUUUUCCAAGUAAAUAUAUAACUAUACUUGUUUCAUUCUAUCAAUGACUGGUUAAUUUUUCAGAAAUUGUAGCACCAAUUUUGUGCCUCUUUUGUAAUCCAAAUUUUAGAAAUUACAGGUCAUCAUUGAUUAUUUUUGGGCUUGUAAAAUCUGACAGUUCCGGUAGCCAAUGGUCCAAGGGCAUUUUUACGGUAUAAAUUGCACUGCACUUGCCUUAUUAAAAGCCUCUGACUUCAAGCACUGGCCAUUCUUGAACCAUUGCACAUUAGCAGCACGUGAGGUGAGUUAAGAAGUCAUCACAUGAGCCUCCCUGCCCUGCGCACAGCAUAUAUUUGUCAGUUGCUUCUACCUUCGUAGCUCAAACCUAAAUGAUGCACAACUUUCACACGAGGAAAGAACUUCGAAGUCCUCCAUAAUAGGAAGAAAAAACUACUUCUAUGUUAAAAAUUGCCGAAUUUGAGUUGAAUUGAAGUAACAAAAACAAGCACACCCGUGAUUGUAUAGCAAUACGCAAACGCAGACACGAGCCACCCCUGCAUCCAUGUAGUUGGCUAUGCGUAAGAAAGGGGAUUGUGAGGACUCACUCAAGCAUGGCUCCUUGCAACAAUCAAAAAGAUCGGAUUGGCCUUAGCUUCAGGCUUUAGGUCCCCAUUGAUGAUUAAUGAGAGGAUAUGAUGAUGACAAAAAUGUAAUAUACAUGGAUGAUAUUAAGAUAAAAUAACAUAAAAAGUUUUUUUUUUUUAAAAAAAAAAAGAAUAGAAGGAUAUAGGAAAGCUUUAACCCUUGCGAGACCAUGAUGCAUCCAUCGUUAUUUUUGCUUUGCCCAACUUUGCAUCCUUAAAAAACUCAAGAUUGGGAGGAUUUGAGGUUCUUGAAAAAAAAAAAAAUUAAAAAAACUCCUUGUACUGUAGAGAAACAGUGAUGGCGGCUGAAUUGCUUGGUGGAGCUGAUGUUGGAGCAGUGUUUGGUGAGCUGCUAGAAGCAGUCUUGAAUGAGAUAAACAAAGCCGCGUUCAAGACGAGACUGAGGCAAAUAGAAAAAACUCUACAAUCCAACAGUCCAAUUUUACAAGACAUGGAAAAGUUGAAUCAAGCAUUAAAUCGUAGAAAUGAGGAGACAGAAACAAUAAUAGAAGUAAUCAGGAAAGGCAAGACGCUCGUUGUUGUAUGCUCAAAAACCCGUAGGUAUAAUUGUUGGAGAAGGCAGAAAUACACAGACAAGCUCGUCAAGUUAGAAGAAUCCAGUGCACAAGUUAUUCUUUCAAACUGUUAUGCCAAAGCAAACAGUAAGGGACAGUCAAGAAAUUCUGUUGGAGCUAAGAGGCCAACAGCUCAAGUUCAAAAGGAAAAUUGAUGGACUUGUUGUCUCAUGUACAAUCUCUGGUGAAUGCUGUUGGAUUACAGGUGGCUUUAGGAGAAUUGAAGAUGGAGCUGUUUAAGGAUGGGAUGUCCAUUGCGGUGCUAUCUGCUCCUCCAGGCUGCAGAAAAACAACAUCGGCAAAACUACUUUGUCAUGUGUCAUGUGAAUGCUUUCCUUGUUAUGUAAUAAUCUCUACUAGUUCUUAGUAGCAACUCUCUCGUAUAGUUUUCGGUCUUUGAACAGGAAAAUUCAAGGAUAACAUCUUUUAUAUCACUGUGUCGGGAAAAAAAGAAGGCAUUAUUUAAUUACAAAAGAAAUAUUGUUUUAAUAAUUUUUUUAAGAAAAAUAUUUAAAAAACAAUAUCAAUCAUCGUAUGCAAAAAAAAAUCCCAAGAACCUGACAGCUUCAAAGCAUGAGCCAUGAUUACAGUAUCGAGUUAUUGAAAUAUAUGUAACCUGGUCGGAUGAGCAAAGGCGCAAAAUUAGGAGAAGCCAUAAUGAUAAAGGUAUUAAAUUAAUAUAAAUGAGUCAAUUAGACCUCCUAAGGCAUAACGUGGGUUCGCCCUAGGCCUCAAUUAGUAUCUUCAAUUUUGAUUCAAACCUCCUUUUUAUAACAAAAAUAAAUUUAAUUUAAAAGAUAUACAUAGUAAAAUGUGAAAUGUGUGUUUUGUGAGGUAUUACUGUUCAAUCGUAUUUUAAAAAAAAAUAAUUUUAAAUUAUUUUUGUAUAUUUUUAUAUUGUAAAGUAAAAUAGAAAAUUAUGCAGAUAAAUAGAAGGAUGAGAAAAAGAGAGAAAAAGAAUAUCAAUGAUGAUAUAAUAAUAUUAAAAAUAUAUUUAAAAAUUAUUAUUUUAAUAUAUUUCUAAAUUUAAAACAAUUUUUAAAAAACCCACUUUUAAAUAUAUAAAAUUAAUUAGAAAAUGCAAGGAGAAAUUAGACCAGGUGAGCUCAGAAAGCCCAUUUGUUACCGGGCUCAAGAGUGAAGACUUUCGAAACGAGCAUGGGAUUGGUGACCAAAACAAAGCCUAAAAAAACUCACUAUCACAGAGAAAUUGAACCCGUUGAGGUUGAGCUCAUAAACUUGAAAUUUCUUUUCUUGUUCUUAGAACAAGACUUGAAAUUUCAGAAACAGGACACUCAAGACAAAUGGGAAUCAGUGGAGACCCUCGAACAUUCAGGCAGGUUGUAGUGCAAAAUUAAGGAAGAAGGAAUGAGUGCUAGUAGUUUGGUUGCAGAUACAGUUUGGAAAACCAUUGAAUCAACCCAAUCAGGUCCUCUCUUUCUAUAUCUCAUGCUUUUUAAUAUUUAGUUAUUAAAGUCUUUUAAACCCACCUUCUAUUAAAUGACGCUUAGUGUCUUUUUUUUUCCUUCCGUGGCUAAUGUAAAUGGUGGCAGUGACUGAGGAGCAGCUUUCAAUGUGAGAAGCAUAUAAAAUAGUCACUUUCCAAUUUCCUAGCUUGCUUUUGAUCAAGUUAGUAUUGAUUUGUAAAAGGGUGUAAAUGGGUUGAUUGAUUUUGGGCCUUUUCUUUGUGUGUGUUGUUUGGGUUAAAUGUAGCUUGCAUUUCUUGUUUGGUAAGAAUCUUGAGAGGGCAACAAAGAUAGUGGAUCAGAGAGGUGUCAAAAAGAUCUCUGGUCAGCCCAGCGGUCGUUCCAUCUUUCAGGUUCAAUUCUAUUCUUUGCUAUGCAUUGUACUUUAGACUUCAAAUUUUUGCACAUGGUUGUUCGAGUUUGGAUCUAGGGCCUAAUUCGGGUUUUAAAAUGCAAAUAAAAUUGGUUUAGGUUGAAUUGUUUUGUGAUAAAAUGGCGGGGCGAUAAGCUAGGAACUUCAGUUUAAAUGGAAUAUCUGAUGAGUUUGACUGUUUUGGUGUAAAUUUAUAAAGAGGAAUGUUUGAGCAAUUUAGUUUGGAUUAGCUUACUAAAGAAAGGUUUGAGGAUUAAAAGAGUGCAGUUAAGGUUCUCCCUAUUUGAGAAUAGCUGUAAAAUUUUAGGAUCAAUCAUUUAAGAACUGAUUUGGCAAAUGGGUUUGAGGUGAAAUUGGAUUAUGGUGAAGAAACUUGGUAGUUAGCACUGUGAACAAAUUGUUAAAUAUGUUUCAUUUAAAAAGAUAGAAGUAAAGAUUAAGAUUUGAUCAUUUAAGAACUCAUUUGGUAAAAUAAUUUCUUGUUUGCUGGUGUUGGUAGGUGGUGGGAGAAUCAAGGAGGAAGGAGGAGUAUUUCUGUUUUCCUGAACACUAUUGUGCCUGUUAUUCAUUUUUUUAUGACAUUGUCAACAGAGGAGAACAACUUUGUGUAAGAGCUCUUUUUUUUUUUCCUUAUUUAUCAUUUCAGUUUGUUGAAACCACUUUUCUAUAAUGUUUUAUGAUUAACUCUUUCAUUUCUUGAAUCCAUUUCAGUGUAAGCAUCAAUUAGCUGCAAGACUUGCAGCAGCAUUAGGAGCGUUCAUUGAUGUUAAAGUGUCUGAUGAGCAACUGGCUCUCUUACUCAUCAAACUAUAACAUGUGGAGAUGGAAGGGAUCUGACUUUAAAAAAGAAGAGGUAUGGUCCAAGAGAAUCGUAGCAAAAGUUUUUAUUAAUUUCGUAGGCUUCUGACUUUGGAAGCAACUACCAGCAAUGAAAUUCUACAACCACUUCCAGGAGAUGAAAUAAUACAUCACUAAUUCGGUUGAGCUUUGCAACUUACUGUACCUCAAAAUCUUUCAGAAUUCCAUAAUCAGGUCUACUUCUCAACAAGCGAUGCAAUAUUAGCUUUGAUCCUUUACUGAUGCAACGAUGGCCAUACUCGGAACUCUGGCUCUGGUGCUGCAAACGAUUAUGAACAUUUCAGUCAAGAUCAAACAGGCUUUAGUAUAAUUUAGAUUUAGGAGACUCUGGCACCACAUUUCAUUUCAUUUUGAUCUUGAUUUAUAGAAAGUGCCAUUCCCCGUUGGCAUUCAUGGAUUACAUUAAAUUUUUGUCAUUCUUGUGUUGUCAUUGUAAACUCAAGAAUCUAACUUGUUUCCACGGUUUGAUCUUUUGGUAAUAUUUGCACCUUGACUUGAAAUGAUGCUUAAAAUAUCUUAAAUGUUGCAUGCAUGCUAUCAGGUGCAAUCCUAAAAAGGACAACCAUUGAACUUGCACGAUGUUUAUGCCCCACCAAUGUUGUUUUAUACUCUGUAGUUGUUGUUCCAUUGCAUAUAAUAGAUCUUCACAUCUUUAGUCAUGUUGAGUUUCUUUUUCUUUCAUUUUCAUUAGAUUAGAUGUUCAUGAAAAAUGCAAUGCACAGUGAAUCAUCAAUGCUAUUAAUGAACGGAUCAUUUUUACAUGUUAAGCAAAUAAUGUCUAGCCCCACUUUGAAAAUUGUCUCAAAAGCAUCACUAAUCAGAGACGAUUUGAAUCACUGAUGUUAUCCAUGAACAGUUCAAUGUUACAUGUUCAGCAGAUGUGUAAACGCCACAUUUGAAAUUGUCCCAAAUGCAUGCUAAUGCCAGUUGAUUUGAAUUGUGUUAGUGAUCUGUUGUCUCGGUAGUUCAAUGUUAUGUUCUCCAAUUAUGUAACCCAAAGAGCUAUUUCAACAUUUCAGCCUUCCUGUGGCGUGCGAAGUAAACGAUGGGGUUUGUUGGGAAUGGAAUGGGCCAGGUCUAGACUCUAGCCUGGUAUCGGGGUACAAAACUGCUGACCGAGAAGAAUCUACUUGGUCGUUGUUUCCGGCACCCCCACAAUAGAAAAAUAACUGGUUACAAGCUUGCAAAACAUUAUGAAAAUGUCGUCUUCUCAUCACGUUCUCAAAAACUGGUGUAACCUGGAAGGCUUACAAAAUGUUGGGAUGAACAUCCUUUGAGGAUUUCUGAAAAUGCUUGGCAAAGGCUCUAAAUCCCUUUUGUUUUGUUAAUCAUGUCCCAUUGAACUGCAUCUCCCUUGUCUCAUGUUGCUCUUGCUUUGCCUGUAUUUUGAUGGCUAAAGUGCCAAGUAACACACUGCUCGCUCAUCAGUAUGUCAAUUAAUACAACAACAACAAGGAUUAAAGUUGCGACAGCAGCUAAAAAUAACCACCAACUGGGAUCUGUUUCAGGAAACUAGAUCUCGUAAAUGAACUAGUGUUACUGGAAACAUCAAUGGAAGCCCCUCAUACUUGCUUAUCGUGGCGUAAGCACUCAGAGUCCUCGCCAUAUUCAACAAACAAGCCGGCGAAAACCCAAAUAUAGCUCCAGGCCUAUGAACAGACCAUUUCAAACCCCCCUUCCUCUGAACCUUAUUAAACAAAACAUCCUCUGAUAAAAACUCAAUGAAUUUAGCCUUGGAAGAUCCUCAUGUAAUGGAGGGUCAUGAGAGCUGAACCUUAAACAAGACUCAAAAGAACCCAAAUAAUGCUUGCGUCCUGUUUGCAAGCAAAUGUGCUGCAAGUUUGGAGUGUUUGGGAUUACAGCUUUAAGCACGUUAUGUAAAAUGGUGCUGUUAAAAAUGCAGUUUUCAGCUUCUGUAGACUUGCUAGCCCAGGAAACGUAAAAGAUGUGGGUUACAUCUGUGAGUUUUGAGAGCUUUUCAAUGGGUUUAUGCAUCGUUCAAGACAUCACAUCGGAUUUGGAGGUAUUUAAUUUGGUGAUCGGAUUGCCAGAUUGGCCGUGGACGGCGUGCAACUCUGUAAACUUUCCAGGGACCACCCGGGGUGUCUGCAAGAGGGAGGAUCCCGGCCAAGCUGCUGCUUACAAUGCCUGUGGCACCUAUUAUGAGGGCCACGCUUUGGUACUUUGGUGGUGCAUCACCAUCCUCUUAAGGUUUUUUCCGUUUUAUUUGAUCAAAUAAAAAUUAUUAGCUCGCCUAUAAUUACAUAACAGGAAAUGGAAUAUGAAGAGGAAUAAAUUGAGUUUUUUUAUAAAAAAAAAUGCCUUUGCAGCACCUAUGGCUCCUGCCCACCACCACCUCAUUGUGAUUGUGUUUUCUGAUUUUGCAAAUCAGAGAGAAGGAUGGAGAGAAGUGCUUGCAAGAAGAGGGAGAUUACAGAGUUGAAGAUGAGUAAUUACGUCGUGGAAAUGUGUAAAUGGACCUAAAAAUUCAGUUUAUUUAUUGAAACACCUUGUUUAUAUCAUGGUGCUUCUAUCCUUGUUAUUGGGGUUUUGGUAAUUAGGCAUUUUGUUUACCUUGUACGCUUUAUUAGUUCAUUGUCACAUUGAAAGUUAAACCAUAGAAAAGAGGGAGUUCUGACAACUGUUUCUGGUGUUUGGAGCAUAAAUCAUCAUUGUCAGCCUAACGUGAUCCCUACUUAAAGAGGGUUCUUAUAAUAACUAAACCAUGAAGUUGGAACUAAUACUAUCAUGGCUUGUCUGGACUCAUACUUGAUGAAAUCGACAGCCACAUCAGAUUAUUGCAUCUCUGAAGAAGAUAGGAGCUAAUUUGAGUUGCGAAGGACGCCAUUCAUAUGUGCAGGCAGCGGAAUUGUGGAUGGAUUAGCAUUUGUGUUAAAACUUUUUAGCAAAAUGAGUGAAAUUCAUUACUUGAUUAAAAAUAAUGUAUUUUAUGCUAUUUCUAUCCAACUCUGAAUGACAAGUUAGUAUCAGACCCAGGGAGCUGUCAUCCGACUAUUGUAAUGACCGGUUUUAACUUGGAAUUUUUAGCGUGCAAUCCUGUUAACUCUGAGGUCUAAUGCUAAAUCAUGUCACCAAGGAAGACAGAGACUCUGUUUCUAUGAGCUAAUUACUUUUCUCUAGUGGAUAACCAAGGCAAAAUAUAAUACCUCUAGAUUAGGACCCAGGCCAGCUUGGAAGUUUGAAGUUCAAAAUCCUUUGCUUUAGCAGAGAAAAUCACAGUAAGAAAUGAAAUAUGGUUUUGGCAAUAUUUUAAGCCAGCCAUUAAGCAAGUUGUUUGAAGUAGACAUGAAACCUACGAUGUUGUUCCUAGUAAGGAUGAAUUUUAAGGACUUGUCAUUGAUAAUACAUCAAAUAAAUUACAGGAUGGUGACAAAUGCAUGCAGGAUUGUUUGCUAAUGUACUGAGAUGUGAUUGAAAAUAUGAUUUGUCCUGAUCACAAUUUUAAAAAUGUUUAAUUACUCGAUAUAUAUCAUAGUUUUGCAUAAAUUUCACUAUAAACUCUCUUUUAAAACCUUGGUCAUGCUUGAAGCUACUUUUUCAAACCUUAAUCGUAAAAACUACCACAACAAAACGAGCCAAACACACAAGAAGUUCAACCGGGAAUACAAGGAUGAUGAUAGACAAUUACUCCUAUAUAAGUUUCUCCUCAUUAACAACGUUUCUGUUUUUCAUAAUCAUUCUUGAUGAUAGAACAGUCCAGUGGACCGCUGAAACACACUGUUGGCUUUCAUGUUUCUGGUUUCGAGUAUAACUGAGCUUCACAAAACUAACAAAUGGAGUUCAAAAGCCACAUUAUCGUGAUCUUUAGGGCAUAGCUAUUCAUUAACUCGGCAUUUAUAUAUAGCUUUUUACUUUUUGUUACACCUACAAUAUAUACAUUGUACACACCUUUAGCAACUUUCAGUAUAUAUCGCCAGAAGCCAGAACUUUAUGUAAGAUCACGUAUCAUCAGCUAAGAAAUGGCCAAUUAGCAACUCUCCUGGACAAACCAUUCAUUCAUCCUUCUUUCUUUACCACAUAGUUCGAAGCUCAAGAACCUAACAACAAUACAUGAAAAAUCACAUCUUAGCAAUGAAAAUUAAAGGCCACCUUUCCAAUGACAGUAAAAUUUUGUCAAAAUAAAUAACUCCUUCAUACUCAGGAAAAGGUUAAGAUAGGGUGAGGCCAGGAAAUGCUUUGGCAAGAGAUUCAAAACUAAGUUCAACUAACAAAACAAUACUUUUAAUCUAUAUGGCCCAUAAGAACAAAAUGAGGAUAUCCAUCCCAAUUCCAUAGUUACAGAGAAACAAUUUUCUUCUCAAGUAAAUAUAAUAAAAAUGCCAUCUUUUACAUUAAGAGAAUCAAAUUAUUAAUCACAAUGAUGACACGUUGCAGAGAAAAUUUUCAAAAUUUUGAUUCUCAUAACCACCAAAUGCUAAUGGUACAAAAUGAUUCACAUUUGAUAGAGGUACUCAUACCUUGAAGUCAAUAACUCCCCUUUCCCCUUCUUUUCAUGUCUUGUCUGGAUCCAAGCACUGCCCUCCAAAUAGAUGUGUUCCUGAGUGCUUGCAUCUCUUCAGCCUCUAGGAAACAUUAGGAAGCUUUUGCUGGAUCAUCCAUAUCAACCACAUCUUCAUGCCUAAUCAAAACAUGAGACGGAUAAGAAAGGGAUUGCCUAUGACCAUUUGGUUAAACGUUCUAAUAACCUGCACUCGUCCUCCCUGGAAAUGUGUGGAUCAAGCUCAUGAAGGCUGCUUAUGAACUUGAUUGCAUCAUCCCGGCGAUUAAGUUUACAGUAUCCAUCAAUGACUGAGUUGUAUGUAUUCUGGUUCGGUUUACAUCCAUGCUUGAUCAUGUAGCAAACAACAUCAAUAGCCUCCUCAAACAUUGAAUCAGCUGCAUAACUUGCAACAAAAGUAUUAUAUGUGAUUACAUCUGGAAUAAGCCCAGAUUCUCUCAUUUCUGAGAAUAUAUGUGAAGCCUCUUUCAUCCGCCCAUUUCGGCAAUACGCAAAAAUUACGGUGUUGUAUGAAAUUAUAUCUGGUUUUAUUCCCUUUGCAAGGAUUUCUUUUAAAACUUCUUCUGACCUCUCAAAGUUCUCUGAUUGGCUGUGCAUAUACAUCAAACUAUUGUAAGUUGCCAAGCUAGGAGUGAACCCACUCUCUUUCAUGAAGUUCAAGAUCUCAUUUGUUUUGGUUACCAUCUGCCUCCUGCCGUAAAUAGCAAUCAUGGCAUUCAGAGUACUCAAGUCAGGUGAAAAGCCUUUUCUCUUCAACUCCAGGAAUGCACGCUCAGCUUCUAAUAGGAGGUCACAUUUACUAUUAACUAAAACAAGGGUCUUCAAGAGCACAGCAUGAGGUUCAAUUACACCAGAGCAUAUCUCCUCCGCAAGAGCAAGCAUCCGUCCAAUCUCCUUGCCAUUGGCAUAAGCAUGAAGCAAAGAACAGUGUGUCAGUUCAUUGGGCUUGCACAUACCAUCUUGCAUUUCAGCAAGUAUUUUCUCUGACUGUUCCCAUAGCCCUCCUCGAGCUAAUGCUGCCAAAACAGCAUUAUAGGUGGAAAGAUCAGGUGUGAUCCCAGUAUCCAGCAUUCUCUUGUACAUAGCCAUGGCUUGGUCAAAUGAACCACACCGACUGUACGCACUGAUUAGGGUGUUGUAGGUAUCCCUCUCCGGUACAAAGCCAACCCUCUUCAUCUCCUUGAAAACUCCAGACACUUCUGAGUCCAUCCCAUUUUGCCCAAACACUGCUAGAAGGGUAUUCCAAGUAACAAUAUCAGGUACACAGCAGCAAAUUUUGAUCUCCUCAAAAACCUUCAUCAUUUCUGCAAACUUUCCCCUGUUACCAUGCAUCUUAAUCAAGGCAUUGAAAGUACAAAUAUUAGGUUUGCAACCUGCAGUUCUCAUUUCCUCAAAAACCCUCAUUGCAGACUCAUCCUUACCAGUCCUCACAAAUCCUGACAACAUUGCAGUGUAAGUAAAAACAUCCAGUUUAAUCCCUCUUUCAACCAUCUGGUUUUUAAGCUCCAUUGCUUCUUCCAACAGACCAUCCCUUGCAUAAGCAGAUAUCAACGAAUUAUAUGUCACAAUGCUUGGUGAACAUCCAUUGACCUCCAUUUCUCUUAAUACCUCGAUCGCCUCCUUAAUCCGCCUAGACUUCCCAUAAACAUCCAAUAAAGUAUUAUAAGUGACCUUAUCAGGCACAAACCCCAUCGAUUUCAUAUCCUCAAAAACCGCAGCAGCUUCUUCAUACAAAGAUCCUCGUCUACAACAGGUUAUCAGCGUAUUAUAUGUAUACUCAUCCGGCAAAAUCCCAGCAUUCUUCAUUCCCUCAAACAGACCUGUAAUCUUGUUCCAAGGCAUACCCAUUUUUCCAUACACAUUCAGAAUCACAUUAUAAGUAAUCAAAGUUGGUUUGCACCCUUCUUCCUCCAUCUUCUUAAAAACCAUCACAGCUUCCCUAUACCUCCCAUUACUAACACAAGCAGUUAUUAAAGAUGUAUACGCAUAAACAUCAGGUUCAAACCCAUCUUUAUGCAAAUUAUUCAACAAAGAUGCUGCCACCGAAACUUUUCCUUCUUUACCAAGCAUAUUAAUAAUCACAGCCACAGCUGAAUUACUCAAGACAGAUUCAUAACCAUUCCUAUUCUUAAACCACUCAAACACACUCAUAGCCAGGUCACUUUUUUUAUAAAACCCUAAACCCUUAAUAAUACCCAAAACAUCAUUACUUAACCUCUCCUUACCACCACUACAUACACUCAACUCUUCUUUAUAGUAAUCAAAUAAAAGACUCAAGAUUUUAUCUAAUUCACUGGUUUCGAAAGAAGGGUCAUUUAAAGAAUCUAGAACUCGCUGACCUUGAAGGGAGAGACGACGGUGGGUCCAGGGUUUGCCACGGUUAGGGUCACAGGCCUUGCCAAUUCGGGUUCGGUUUCUUGGGAUAGGAAAUAGAUCAGGUUGGGUUUGCGGGUUGAUGGGUUUGGAAAGAUUGGGGCUUUGCUUGAAAAGGAAGUCCUGCAUAGGUGGGGUGCCAUGUUGUGGUGGUGGUGAAGUGGGUGUUGUUAGUUUUAGCUGUUGUUGAUGGAGGUGAGAUUGGAGAGGCAGUAAGAGUUUUGUUGGAGGUGGGUUUGUGAGGAGAAGAGGGAGAGCUAGUUUCUCUGUCAUUUUUUAGAGUGAGAGGUUUUAGGAGGGCUUUGGGCGGGUUUAAGGAUUAUAAGUUGGUUUCUUUAGUUGAGUUUGUGUGGUGUUUUGACUUAAGAAAGGAGAGAUUUUUCUGUGUGGUGUUUCAAGUUGAGAUUCUUAGAGAGGGGAUGUUUGAGAGGGGAGGAGGGUUUCAAUCCUACGUGGUGAGUGAGUAGUGGAGAUUGCCAUGGUAGCAGACAAGAAUCUCUGGCGAACAGAUAGAGCUUGCCAUGUCAGCAAAAGGUGACUCUCUGCUUCGGAGGAGAGAAGAAAUUGACAAACUAGAACUAAACAUUAUGAUUGAAAUUUUUCUAAGGAGUUGAAAGAGGAAUUGUUGCGGAUUAAAAAAAUAUGAGUUUGUUUAAGAUUGAUUUGAUGAAUUUUUUCAUGUAAAAUAAAUAAAUAAAUAAAUUUAUAUAAAUAAAAAUAUAUUAUUUUAAUUUAAACAAAAUUAAUAUUUAAAAUACAAUUAUAUAUAGAAUCCAUAUAAAAAACAAAAAUUAUUUGAGUAACUAAAUUAAAGCUACCAUAACAUCAAACUCUCUACGGGAAUUUCGAGUUAAAAAGUCUCUCUCCAAUCUUGCGGAGUUCAAAAGCUAAUGCCGUACAUGUGGUGAUAUGGAAUUAGCUGAUCUAAUUUGUGUUUCCCGUUGCAGGAAUGACUGUGUAAAGAUUCCAUAGAAAAUUAGGAGACCCAGAAGCGAGGAUUAGAUUAGAACUGUGUUCCACUCUUUCUUGUUUCUGCAACCAAAUAUUCUUCAAUAAAGUUCCCUUUUCUGCAAUUACUAGUUUUUGCCCUCACGCACUCCCAUUCUUGGGGAGUUCUGUGCAAGAACUCGUUAUGAGUCCAACUCCAGAGACGCUCAAUUGCCAACAAUCAUUUCAACAACUCUAUUUCGUAAUUAAGGUAGGUAAGUGCAGGCAAGGGGCGGCUUAAUACGACUGCUGCCAUGAUCAUUUGAGAUAAGUUUUUCAGUUAGAUCAAAACUAUCUAAAAUCAUACCAAGAGCCUGUUUUAUGCAGCAUGUACCCAAUAUGAAAAUAUUGCCAGAACCACAACUACAUACAAGAUUCAAUCAAAAUUUGAGAUUCAUCAACAGAAGCAUAAACUGGCAGAAAGUUAUAAUAUCAUCUUGAAAAUCGUACUAUGUAAGGAAUCCAUAAGCAAAAUUCUUAACAAAGCUAGUUCUGCAUGUAAGUACUGCUAAUUAAGACUAAAAACACAAGCCGCCGAAAGCACCAGGCAUAAUUUUGACUAUUAUCGUCAACAAAAAAGAUAGCCCUGCCACGGGAAAGAUGACCACGAAGACUGGAUCCAUAAUCUUGAACUUCAUUUGAGGAAAUGAGGACUAAUCAACCCAGCAAUCUCAAGAAAUCCAACCUGGUCUCUACCAGCAAAUAUCUUCUUCAACUUCUCGUCACAAAUUAUGUUCUUCUUGUUACUAGGGUCCUAAAAAAACGCAGCAAGUCCAGUCAGCUCCAAAUUAAUGAGAUAACCAUAUAUGCGUACACCAUGGAUGUUCUAUGCAAUGGCUCAGAAACAGCUAGAAAAACAAACACCAGAUUCAUGCAAAAAUGACGAACUAGAGGAGCAAUAAUACUGCAGUUCAAGAAAAGAGUUAGCACCAAAUUAGUAAAUACACCACUCAACAAAUAAAGGGAAGUGACCGCACCAGCAGAUGGACUAACAAAUGUUCUAAAGGGUGAAGUAAAACGGUAAUUAAGUGAACAUUGUAUCCAUUACUCAAACACCAAUCAUGCUUUUUGUUUCAACCAAAUUAUUCAGCUGGAAGCUAACCCUAAUAGUGAAGGACGAUAGCUGCUUGGAAAUGACAAGCCAACAGCCAGUCUUCGUGUUGAACCUCGCAAUUUUGUAAGCGCUGCCUCGCAUUUUCAGGUUAGUAAAAUCCAGUACCUCUAAUUAAGCCACAUUCAUAUAAACAUACUGCAUGUGGUCGUAUCAACAAAGCAGUGCAUACCACAUUCAUGUAUUACAAAUUUGAAAUUAUUCUGAAUUGUUUCUCAAACUUGAACUACCUACAAAAUCAUGUCUCAGCCAAAAUUCUAUAUAAAAUCAUGUCUCAACCAAAAUUCUAGUGAUGAAAUCUAUCCCUAACAUGAGAGACACCUUGUUCAUACAUCAACGAAUUCACAGCAAUAAUGAUCAGGCCAUGCAAGAAUAAAAAACUACAUCGAACAAACAUAUCCAAGUAUAACACCAUUCAAUUAAUUACAUGAGCAGCAAACAAACAAUACCCAAGAACCCACAAUUAUCCAGCAGCCUCAUAACAUUAUCCAAACCCACAAAAGAAGCAACGCGUAAAACAUAUUACAUUUUCAGAACUAAAAUACAAUAACCGCAUAACCCACACUUAAAAAACUCAUAAAAGUAAAAAAAAAAAAUAAUAAUAAUAAUAAUAAUAAUAACAGCACCAGAAGCAGAACUGGAACAUUUCGCUGACACCAGCACAACCUUAUCCACAAACAUGACAUGUCUCCAGCUAAUCAAUUAAAUAAUCAACAGCAUAAAAACCCAUGAAUAAAAAACAACCACAUUUUACCGUUCCAAAACAACCUUAUCCAAACGUUUAACUAAAAACUAAGCACAGGAAAUGACAGGAACCCAAGAUUUUAGAACAAAAUGUAGACUUCUAAUAAAAAUUAUACCUGAAGAUUGUGCUCCUUGAUAUGGGCCCAUAUAAGCUUGAGAGCCUGAGUACGAGAGACCUCAGGAGCACCAAUAAAGUCCGCCAUUUCAGGUGAGACUCGCCUCGGCUUCAUUAUGCCGCGUGGAGCACGGUUUCCGGUCGAUGCCGUGGCGCAGGUAACUACAGUACUACGCACCAUGCGCGGGUUCGCGGGAGGCGCAGCCAGAAACCUGAGAGGAAGAGUGGAUGUAGGAGAAGGAAACUUGAGAAGCGGCACCGUUUCGGUGGAUAGGAAAGUAGAGAAAAUCCCUGAAGAAAUUGCCAUUUGAAAAAAGAAAAAAACUCGAGAAUUUUGUGUUUCUGAGAGAGGGGGAGGGUUUUGAAUUAGCUUGAUUUUUUUUUUUUUCCUUUUAAAUUUUGGUGUUUUGAGAGAAUGCGAAGAGAGAUAAGGGUUUUUUGGGUUUUGUGCGAGUGAGAAACACAGAAUUUGUCUGAUCCCGCCUUAAUCCUGGCGUACUAUUCUUUAACUUUUUCACGAUUUUUUAAAUACUUGAAUGCCCCUGCCUGGGUCAAGCACUAUAAAAAAAACAGAUCGUUCGAUUUUUGUUGGGUCAAGAGUGUCCUGGUGUUUGAGGACAGACAUCCACCAGAAAUUUGGGCAGUUUGAGGAUGGGGAUGGAGGAGUUGGGUUGGGCUAAAGGAGAAAUAGAAAAGGCCAAUAUAUACAAUGGUAGACCUGGGAAUAAGUAGUGGAUCUGGGUUUCAGAAUUAGGUUUUAGCUUUCAUUUCAUUCUCUGACAUGGGCUUUAGGUGACGGAGGUGUGGUUGAGGGUUUUGGCAAAGGAUAGAUGUGCCACCGGCAAAGUCCAUGAUGCAAAUGUUCUAACAUCUGACAUUUCACGACAAGAGACAGAGACAACAACGAUGAUAAGAGUCUCGCGGUCAAAUUAACUACUUACAUAUUUACAUGCACAGAGAUACCGUGUAAAAUUAUCUAAUAUUAACUAGGAUAGGAUAUUGAUAAACUGAUUAGGUUUUAGAUUUAUUAUAUAAAAAUUAUUAGUUUAAGUUUUAUAAAUUUUAUAGUUUGGAGAUUUAUAUAAUUAUUAAUUUUAGAAUUCAUGGAAUUAGUUAAGAUUCGCGCAAACUAAUCCGAAUACUCAUGUUAAUAAAAAAAAAUUACCCAAUAUUCUAUUAUAUUUCUUUCUUUUCCAUAUAAUGAUACUAGUGAAAUUUCAUUACGUAAUAAUUAUUCGUUAACCCUACUUAGACAUGAAGGGGAAAAAGCAUAUAAAAUAAAAGUAUUGAAUUAUUGUUUGGACAGCGUUGUCUGAUAAAAAGAGUAGAAUCUCUUUUUCCCGUAAUAAUUGUCUUGAGAAGUCAAAUUGUGUGGCUUUUUUUUAUUUUGUCCGAGAAUAUAAUUUAUCUUUCCCCAGGGACAAGCUCUGCUAGCUAUCUUGAACUGUUAAUGCCUCAUUCUCUUUGACAGAACAUCCAUCCAAGACCCUCUGCAUGCCUGCUAACCAGCUCUCAAGAAUUGAUAAAAUUAAGCCAAUUGACGAGAAAGGCUCGUUGAUGCCGUCGUCUGGCCUGGAUGUAUCGCGUCGCAUUUUAGCCAAAUUGAUCAAAAUUAAAACACAUGGCACCAAUUAACUUUCUAGCACAAAUACAACAGCUAAAAAAAAGGGUAUUUCUCUCUAAUAAAUGUAUGGUUUUCUUUUCUUUUCUUUUCUUCUCAUAAAAGGGAAAGGCCUGUCCACGACGAAAGUGGAAUAUACUGUUACAACUUUAAUAUAGUGAUGAAGCCAAACCAAAAUGCAGUCCCUCCAUGCAUGAUUAGUGUUGUUAUGGUCCGACUAUUUGCCCUAGCUAGUAAAACCUUUCCCGGCUUGCAGUUGAAACCACGUUAUCAUAAAGGCAGCCUAGGAUUAAUUAAGAGGUAGGAAGGAGGUCAAUUUAACCUCAAGGAAAAGAAACUAAAGGGCCAACAAGAGGAGGAUAGCAAGUUACAAUCAUUCACAUUGCAGGAAAUGAUCGUUAAACUAACUUGCCCCCCCCCCCCACAGUCCACGUUCCCUUUUACUUUACUCUCGUUUACAUGGACUUUGGACCUACCUUUUGUAUGAUUUGUCCUCAUGAACCGUACCUCUUAUAUAUAGUAAUGUUUCAAUUCGAUCGGACCAGGAAAAUCAAGAUUCCAGAGAGUAAUCUUGUUCGAUAAUUAUCGUGUAAAAUGCGAGAGGAAACGUGUAUGUUAACAACUGAAAGGUACUCUAAAAAAAAUGGGGGUGUUGUUGUGGAUUGAAUUAUGGAGGGAGUUGAGAAGGCAAAUCCUUGACAGGCGUUAUAAUGGCACUGUGAUACAUGUGGACAAUGCUAAGAUAAAGGAUUGAAGAAGAAGCCAUUAAUUGUCACAUUGUUUAACAUGGAUUGGAAGGGCUAGGCACUGGCUAUAUAUCAAUUUCAGUUUCUAUGGAAUGCCCAGUCAGUCGGUGCUUUUUUUGCGUUGAGAAUAAUCAACCACCUAAAUUUCUGCUUUCAUCACUGCAUAAGUGGAAGAAUCCUCUCUCUCUCUCUUUUUGCGUGGGAUUUCUUUUUUUCUCUUUAUAUUUCUUUUUGUUUUUUGUCUAAGUGAUGUCUCUAAUUGAUUGAUUUUCACGUAUGGAUCAAUUAUGUCAAGAUUUAAAGAUUCGUGAAAACUUUACUCCUCGCAAUCUAAGUAAUCUUACCUGAUUUUGAACUUUUAAAAACUGGAAAUUAAACAGUGUAAUUAUUAAUCGUUUGACCAGUUCCUCAAUGUCAAAUAUGCAAAUACAAUGAAAUUCUCCGACCAUCAAUCUCCAAACAAAAAAGAAACAUACAACGAAAAGGACUAUAAGCCUAUAAUUAAACGCUUGUUGAGAAAGAUAACUGCAAACCUACAGGGACCUCGGUGAUGGAGAUGGAGAUGGUGAUGGUGAUAGGUCAAUAAAAACAGAACCCUUGAUUAAGCUAUUAGUAAUCAUAAUACUGCAGAGGAGUUUCUUGGGGUCUUAUGAAAACGAACAUCUUAAUUCUUUCAUCUUUAUACCAAAAAAAAGAAGAAGAAAAAGGAAAGAAAAUCUAACGGAGGAUUGGAUUAUAAGCAAAGGUCAUCCAUCUACCAUUUCCUUUCCAAAUUCUAACCAGUCUGGAUGAGACACGUGAACCCAGUUUAAUGAUCCCUCACACUCAACAAGCUUAUUAGGAGUUAGGACCACCCAAAAAAAAAAAAAAAAACAGUAUCUUUUACUGGUAGAACUGGUUGCAGGCUCACGGCAACACAUGUAGCUGGAACUCGUUGGAAAUUUUACUCGUUAUCAUCGUUUUUUUCUGCAUAAUUUUCAUGUCUCCAGGCCUAAUUUUGUAUUUAUUAUUCAAACUCAACGACGAACUGGCAAGGAUUAUUUAGCCUCCAGGCUCCCUAAAGAGCGCCUGUCACGGCGAGACAGCUAGCACAGCAAGGGCCACCACACAAUGGCGGUGCUCCAACAUACCAACUAAAAUUUGGCAGAUUAUAGCCAAAACUUAAGCGUAAAAUAUACAUCUGCCAGUGCCAAUCCAAUGGCAAUGUUAUGAUUAAGGGCCAGCUCAUAUGAGGGCAUGGCCCACUGAUCAUAAUCCUCCUGUUGCUUAUUCGGUAAAAAGGAUCGCUCAUUAUUCUUGACUAGUAGAAUACCUCUCAUUUUCACAGUUGUCGAGUUGGAUUUGAAGAUUAAUUCAAGAAAUGCGAGUCAAUUCAUGUAUUAGUGAAUUAAUAAUAUGAUAUAUUAAAAACAAUCCAACAUAUUGAAUUUAUAUACAUAUAUAUUUUAAUUUCAACAUAAUUCUUAACAUUGAUUUUAACACAAUUCUUAAUUAAUUGAAAAGGGCAAAGAUUUAAAGACUUGAAACUUGACUUAACAAGUAUUAAUUAAAAUAUUUAAAAUAUAAAUCAAACUUAAAAUCUUAAACAUUUAUAUGACAAUCAUAAUUAAAAAAAUGCAAGUUCUUUCACCCAUGCAUAAUAAAAUUUGAUUGUAUGAACAAGACUAGGAAUUCUCGAUGUGCCUGAUUUAUUUAGUUUAUUUUCAUUUAAAAUUGAAGAAAGAUUUAUUUUAUUGAGUUUUUUUUAUUUAAUCUGAACUAUUGAAACCGAUAUUGAGCUCUACAUUCGCUAGUGGUUGACAAAUGCAUGGCCAUUUUUAAGGACAAAAGAAAAUCAUUCCAACAAAAUCAUUAAUAAUCAUGAUUUUUUGAAUCAUGUUAAUGUCCGACGACUCUACCAUUUUCACUCCUCCCACAGAGAGAGGACAACCCCCUAAGCUAACCCAUAUUCAUCAUUAAUACACAACUUAAAGAGUAACUAACAAUUCUUCUUCUUCUUUUUUUUUUAAGGAAAAAAAAGCUGGCUGACUGCUACUAACGUGUCACCCAGAUCUCAUAUCCAAAUCACAUGCAUUGCUGGUCCCACAUCAAACAACAUAAUCGACGCCUCAGAUCUGUUUGGUAGCUCAUUGGCCCCACCAAUACCUCUCGAACUUCCGAACCUUCUUCCUUCUACUCUAUUUAUAAUCCUCCCUUCCUUUCUUUAUUUCCUCACUGAUCAGGACUGCACGCAAAGAGCAGAGAGAGAGAGAGAGUAUCAAAACUAGCAAAAAAUGAUGCUAAAAAAAGCUGUCAUCCUUCUUUCUUUGAUCUGCAUUUCGAUUGCUGGUGUUUCUGGUCAAGCACCAGCAACGUCACCAACAGCAACACCAGCACCACCCACACCAACUUCUUCUCCACCGCCAGCAACCACUCCUCCACCAGUUUCAGCCCCACCUCCUGUUACCCAAUCUCCACCUCCAGCUACCCCUCCUCCAGUUUCAGCCCCACCACCUGCCACCCCUCCUCCCGCAACCCCACCACCAGCAACUCCUCCUCCCGCCACCCCACCACCAGCAACCCCACCACCUGCUACUCCUCCACCAGCAACCCCUCCUCCCGCUGUUCCUCCACCAGCUCCAUUGGCAGCUCCACCAGCUCUUGUUCCAGCUCCAGCUCCCAGCAAGCCUAAGUUGAAGUCUCCAGCUCCAUCUCCCCUGGCAUUGAGUCCUCCAUCUCCAC
rnacentral:lncRNA from 1 species